CAAAGCCAUGGUUGUGCUAGGUGCAAUGCCCCUAGCAUGCAAAGUCAUGGUUUUACCCAUCUAUCAUCAAUCUAACAUUACUGUUGGGAUUUGUGUUCAUUCAAUUUAAAUUUUUUAUCGCUUCAAAGGUAAGAAUGAAACCACCAUGUUGCCUGAUCCAUAUAUAUAUAUAUAUAUAUAUAUAUAAAAGCGUAUGCUUAGUGUAAUUUUGGUGUUUAAUGAAAUUAUAUAGUUUGUCAAUCCAUAUUUUUUUAUCACACCAAAUAAAAUUACUAGUAGAGGUUUUCUUUUCUUACCGAAUAUAAUAUUAAUACUAAGUUACUCAGAUUAAUUUAAAAUAAUGAGUAAUAUAGGUAAUGUGAGUAUUCUUUUUUUAACACUGAUCUAUUUCACACUCAAUGAUCAAUUAGGAUUUGAGUCUUAUACCAUUUAAUUAAAGAACAUAAGUUACAAUCAUCACAUCACAUGUACAACUGUUAAUUUGUUAGUAAAUCACGAGUAGGGAUUGGAUUUAAGUAUAUAAUAAUUAGUUUACCACAUCUAUAACAAAAAAUCUAUUUUGUCCGAAGCUAUAUUUUAUAAUAAACUGUUAAUCAAUUCCCCUAAUUAAAACAAUCAUGAAAUUCCACUUAGUAUUUUUUUAAAACAUUAAUGUUAUUAGAUAUAUUAUUUAGAAUAAAUAAACAAAUGCAAACUAUAUUAAUCCGUGAGGCAGAGUAUCGUGAAAAAAAUUAAAAUAAUUUUCUUUUAAAAAUCCUUUUAUAUAUAAGUAAUUUAAUAAUUAUGCAUUAUUAUUAGUAUAUAUAUUUUUUACAUUACUAACUAAUUAUAAAUUAUCGGUUAUAUAACUUUUAAAAUAAUUAUUAUAAAAUUUAAUAAAUUUACUGUACAUAACAAUUUGUGAUUAAAUAUAAUAAUAUAAAAUUAGACUAUCAGUAUAUAAAUUAUUUUCUCUUUAUAUAUUAUCAACACAAUAUUUUUUUUAUCAGCUAUCUGCACAGUAUGAAGCAUCGUACAAUUAUCAGGUUAAUAAUCGGCAAUGUUGUGUAAGAAGUAUUUUUAAAAAGGAAUGCCGUUUAUGAAUUAAAGAAAAUGAGAUGAUAAGCGAUAACUCUAUUUUUUUAGAAAAUGGAAAAAAUAUAUCCAUAAUAUAAAAGGAAAAAAAAUCAAAUUAAAAUAAUAAAGAGUAGAAUCUGUAUGUUUGUCGUGACAUAAUGGCUAAGCAAUACUACACUAAUUUUGACUAAGAUGAUUCCGUCUCAUAAUGCUUGGCAAGACAAAAAUCUAACCCAAGAAUUUAUCACCUAUACUUUAAUACAAAUCAUAUUUACUAAGAUUAUGUUCUCUUAUAUACCGGAGAAAAUCCAAACACAUGCCAGAAAAUAUUCCAAAGCUAGAAAAAGUCGGUGUAGUUUUGUCUCCGCAGCUAGCUAGCAUCAUAUUGUUUCAAAACUAAAAAAUAAUAACCUCCGUAGAUUAUCAACCAUUUAUUAUUAGACAUCGUUCCUUUGAAAGUAAUCGAAUUCACUAGCAUAUUUUUUUUGAAUUUUUUUAGUAAUAAUAUUUCUAUACUAAAUAUGCAUGAUUUUUAAAAGCACUGGUCAACUGUCAACAUGAUGGUAAGAGUCACUAGUUCUUUUAAAAAAAAACAUUAUGUGAUUUUAAGUGCAACAAAUCUCGUGUUGCUUUGGCCUAUUCAAAUUCAAAUAAGUAUAUCAUACAUUGCUUUUGUAAUUUGAUACUAUUGACCAAUUCACUUUUUGAUGUAGGAUAACGGGUAGAGCUUAGUUUGAGGGAAAUUAUAUGGAACUAAAUUAAUGAAAACUAUAUAAGCUUGGUUUUUCUUAAUUGUAAGUGUCAACUCGAUCAUAUUCUAGUUAAUAUGUAAAGGAAAUCAAAAUUAUAUUUUAGACUAAAACUAAAAAAUGAUUUUAAUUUUUAAAAACUUUAAAAGUAAAAUUAACCACCAACAACAUUAUCUUGGUCUUGAUCUAAACGGGAAAUGGAUUAAACUCUCUCAAGAAAGAUUUCAAUUUUAAAUUUUAUGGAAAGAAGAAAAGUGGUAAGAAGGGAAAAUUCACUUGAAAUUAAAGGUAGUUAAUUAUAUUUUCCAAUGAAUAUUAGUAAUUGAUAAAACUGAUCCAUAUUUCACACUAAGAAAAUAGUUUUUUAAAAAAAGCUUAAAAUGUCAAAUUGGAAGCAAAGGAUUACAACUUAACUGUUUUGGCAUUUUUCAUUGGAAUGUAUAUUUUUUUGGUUCAACGUGGGCUAAAUAAUUUUCCAAAUACAGCCUACGAUGUAUAUUAAUGCAUGGAUUGGUAAUUCAAGUGAUGAUAAGAAGAGAAAAGCAUUCGACGUGUGAAUGUUGUUUUAAUGAUUGGGUGUAGCUGAGUGCAAUUUUAUAUAUACACCCUAAAUAAUCAUGAAUGGGGGUAUAAAAACAUUUGAUGUGUGGGUGUCAUCGGUACGCGUCAAUUGAUUAUACUAUGCAAUGCAUGUAGAAGUUGGAGAUAGAGAUCGAGAGCUCCUUAGUUUCAUAAAAUGUUCUCGCAAUCUGUUGGGACCCUUUGUUAAUCAUGAGCUGAACCUAACACUAAAUUUUUUAACAUAUUCUGCGAACUCUUUAUAGUUAAAGUAUUAUUAUUAUAUAUUAAUUUCCUAAUAUACCAAAACAAAUACCUAAAAAAGGAGAUUUAUAUUCCUUAGUUGACCAAGAAGAAACUUGUGGCCUUAGAUGACCCUACCUACGAAUAUGUGAUGAAAGCAAUUAGGGGAGCAACAAAGUAAAAGACAGACACUGAAUUGAAACAGAUUCGAAUGAUAUCAAUGUAUCUAACUAAGGUUUGGGUUUUUAGUUUCUACAUGUUUGAUUCGAUGAUGUCAAUUUCAGCUGGUUUUGAAGUCUCUUUCAAAAAUUUACCACAUUUUUAAUAAAGGGUAAAUUGUCUUUUCAGUUCACAAAUAUUUCUGAAUUAUUAUUUUCAUAAUUUUAAAAUUAAUAGAUAUUGUCUUUGUAUUUUUUAUAAUUAGAUUUGCAAUUGCUAGUGUAUAUUCAUUAUUUUUCUUAGUUUAAACACAUUUAGCAAGUUGUAAUAAGAGAUUAUGAUAGAAUAUCAUGACAACAUAAGUUAUUAACGUACUCUAAUUAAAAAAAUAAGUUCAUGCAUAUUAGAAAAUUAUUUUAAAAAUUUCUAAAUUUAAAAUUUUGAAAUUAAUAUUUUCCUUUACAUAAGAAUCAAAAUUCGAGUAUUUCAAGAAAUAUAAGAACUAAAAUUAAUAUUUUAAAAAUUCAGAAUAAAAACGAAAAUAUGAAGAAAAAAAAUAGGGACUAAAAAUUUCAUUAAUUCAUAAAUUUAAUAUAAAUAACCUAGACAAAUCAAUAUAAAAAAACAGUUCAAAAAUAGACUAACUAUGAUAUGUAGAAGUUUUUUCUAAGUCAUAUUAAAGAAGUGUCAUUAGUUAAAUUUAGGGGUCAUCAAAUCCAAAUCCAUCCAAAAUAAAAAUAAAAAAUCAAUAAAAAAAACUAGAAGUCAAAUCAAAUUAAUUAUUUUUUAUUUGUUUGGAUGAUCUUUUUCUCAAACUGGACUAGUUUGGUUUUGUUUGCGGUUUGUGUUAUUGAAAUCAAAUCAAACCAAAUUAAAUCAAACCGCAACACUUAUAUUAUUUUAGUGUUAUGCAUUUUAUGAGUAUAACAAUUGAAUUUCACAGUACUUUAUAGUAUUAUGUAUACAUAAUUUACACAAUGUAUAACACUUUUUUUUCAAAUGAUUUUUUUAAGAUAUGUUUGGUUUAAAAUAGAUGAAAUUUUGACAAAUUUUUAUUUAGAAGGUUUAGCAUAUUAAUAAGUUUCACAUAUUGUUAUCAACAAUUUUUUAAUGUAAUUUUAUUUAAAAAAGAAAAGAAAAUAUAUAAAUUUUAAUUAAAUAAUAUUUUAGUAAAAACCACAAAAAUCGAACCAAACUAAACUGCAAACUACUAGUUUGAUUUGGUUCAGAUUUUGUUUUAAAUCAAAAUCAAACCAAAUCAUAAAUGUUUUUAAGUUUGAUUUGAGUGAGUUUUUGAUUAAAAAAAAACAAAUCAAUUUGAAACGCAAACACCUCUAAUUAAAUCAUGAAGUACUUGAAACACACUAGAAGAGGGGUUGAAAAACGUGAUGGAUGAAAACCUAGUCUUUCAAAAACUUUUGAAAGCUUUUCUCAAAUAGAUAUCAAUGAACAAUGGGUUUCAUCCAAGGGGUUCGAAAUCACCUUGUGCUUAAAAAACCAGUUCAUAAAACUUGGAUAUGGUAUUGUAAAAGUAACUUAUAGAAAAGAACUAGUUAUAUAAAAACAAUAAAGAAAAUACAAAGUUUUAUACUGGUCCAUCCCAACUCUUGCUACGUCCAGUUCUUCUUCAAACCUUAAAGGGUUCCACUAAUCAAUUCUUUGAUUACAAUCAAGUAUUCUCUAUAUUAUUUCUAGCUACAAUGAGUACUCUCUGGGGCAUUCCUGACACUACUCUUAAUCUCCUCCUGAGGUUAAUACCCAAAUAUUCUUUGUCAUUAAGUCACCACUGGUUUUCACAAAAAAUAUAUGUUUGAUAGAAAAAGUAUUAUAAUCUCUCAAAGAGUGUUUACACAAUAAGCUUGAAUACAAUGAAACUUGUUAACUUACCAAAGCUAAGAUUCACUUAAUUCGCUUAAGUUUCCUUCGUCCAGUAAACUGACAGUGUUACAACACUUUGUUCGUUUUGUUUCAUAUUAUUCUCUUGUGAUUUGACAACAUUAGUACGAACAUCUUCAAGCUUUGUAUAGACUUUAGAGCUUCUAUCUGUUGAGAGAUCUCAACUAGCCGUUGUUUAAUAGUUUUGACGUUUUACACGAGGAUGCUACUGUGCAAAGAGAGUAGGGACAACAAACACUUUUUGUAGCAUAUCUUCAUAGAAAUAUAAUUUGUCAAUGUCACAUAAUGCUCAAAGUUGACUUUCAGCGUACAAAUCGAAAGAAACAUUAACAUUAUAGAACAAAAAGAAUUGAAAAUUUCAAGACAAGAUAAUUUAAAUCUUCUCUUUUGUGUGCUAAGGCACAAGAUGUUUACUAAACCUAUGGACGCUACUCUUUAAUGAUUGUUUUUAGUACUUGAGGAUCGAGUAAUUAUUCCAUUGCUUUUGUGUUGCAAGUCAAGUGCUAAAACAUUUGUCUUUUUAGGAUUUGACGUUGAGGCAAUAUCGUCCGAUGACUGAUAUUGUGGUUAUUGUCUGGAGCCUCUUUUGUUCAUGCUUUUUUACUGGUAUCUCGUGGAAAUAGAUGAAUCUGUAGUUUAAGCAUAAAAGAUUAAUACAUAAAAUUUAUAUUUUAUUAGCAUCAAAACCUUAAAAAUUUUAUUGUUUGAUAUAGUUCAUUAUGAUUUAGAUGCAGAAAGGCUUAACAAAUCACUUCCUUGCAUCAUCUUUUUUUUCCUAUGUAAAGGGAAGAUUCUCUCUCUUUAGAGUUUUCAAGUUAGAGGCGUAUAUUACUUUGAAUUGUUUUAUGCAUUGAAUCCAUUAGGGGUAGACGCUCUAAGACAAGUUUAUCUAUUUUUGUUUUUGUUUUUCUUUAUAUUUCAUUCGCAUUCUAAUGUUUUGUAGUUACUAUUUUUAUUAUUCUAAAAAUAUAAAAAAAAGAGGUUAUUAUGACACCUUAUUAGUCCUAUAUUUGUAUUUGAGAUAUAUGGAUUGUGACAACUUAAUGAUCUUUAAUAAUAGUAUAGUGUAAAUUAUACCAAUUAUUCUUGAAUUUUAAAGAAUUUACAGUUAAUAUACUUCGUUAUUUAACUCUAAAAAACUUUUUUUAUUUUUCACAUAUAACAGCAUCUAUUCUCCCCUCUAACGUCUUUGACACUAUAUAUUAACAAAAAAAAAAGGAGGAUACGAAAAAGAAAAGAAAAAAAAAUGAUCUCCCAAUUUUUUUGUAUUUUUUUAUUUUGUUAGUUCCUUUCUCACUUUGAUUUUCUUGCCCCUAACUUUUUUUUAAGCCACAUUACGCUAUACUCACAAGUACUUUCUUUCAUUCUUUUUCUCUCUUUCUUUCUCACUUUUUAAUUUUUACCGGAUGUAAAAGACACACCCCACUUGUGGAAAUGGAUUCUCCAUCGAAAAUUAACAUGAGAGAAUAAAGUGCUUCCAUCUCAUCCAUUUAUAAUUUUUAAACACAAGUUUAUAAUAUUUUUAUUAAAUAAAUUAAAUAAUUUUAAUGGUUGAGAUCUCAAUGUCACUGUAGAGGACCCCACUUGCUACUUUAUUAGGCUGCAUCUUAAUACUUUCUUUUAUUUUUUUAACUUAGUUAUCAUAAUUUAAUAAAAUAUUGUAAUAUAUUCUUAUUUAAAGCUAAUUUUAAUUCUAAAAUUUUCUUAAUUAAUUUUAAAAGUUUAUUAUAAUAUGAAUGUGUUUUUUAAAAUGAAAUAUGGAUUUUUUUAAUCUCUAUGUGUGUCUGUGAAUGUUUAUAAUUCUGUACAUGUCAAUUUCAUGAAAUAAACUAAUCUCAUUCUCUAUAAAUCAUGUUUUAUUAAAAAUAGAGUAUUAAGAAAAAUGUGUUAGUAACACACGCCUUAUAUAUAAUUAAUAGUAGUAUUAUAUUUUGUAAAGAAGCUAAUAUAAGGGUCAUGAUUUAAUGUUUUAGAUGAAUAUUUUAAUAAUUAGAUAUAUUUGUAUGUAUUAAACUCAUUAGGUUUUUAAAUUUAUUUGCAAAAUUUGUCUUUUUGACAAAAUUCUUACCUCUCGUACCUUUUCAAUUAGAUGGCAGAUACAACAAGCACAUAGUUAUAUAUUCCAAUUUAUUCCAAACUAGCUAGCUACUGAUCCUAUCUUUGCUUCAGGAAAAAAAAAACUACUGUUCUUAUCUUAAUCAAACUAAUCCAAACUAUAACAUUAUGACGCGCAUUCAAUCAAAACGAAAGAUCUUUGUUAUAUUAAAGGUAAAUGAUCAACUCCAUUCCUAUAUUUUAUACUCACUGCUAAUUUAGUCUUUCUAUUAUAAAAAUGAUUGAUUUAUUUCACAAAUAUAUAAAAAAGUAUCGAUGAUUUAGUUUGACGGUCAAGUGAUUUUUAUUUCCAUUAAUAUUUUAAUGACAUAACACGUGAAAGACAAGGUGACAAAUUUAAAGUGACAAAAGUGAUUUUCACAUGUUGUGCAAAUAAUACCAUAUGUCUUUCAUACUAAAUUCCUUUCUCAAUUCCCUCUACAGCAACAACAUCCUUUACAUUAUAAGCUCAAUGGGAAUUUAUGAAAUGAUGAUAUCAAGGACUCAUUUCAUCAAGGCAUUUCAUAAUUUUUAUUAUCCAUUUUUUGCAAAUAAUGUUGCUGCUUAUGCCUACAAUCAUGUCGUAUAUAAGCUCCAUGGGGAGCAUGUGUGUUUGAAUUUCCCCAAUCUCAAGGAUCCAUAGAGCUACAUUUUGGGAGCAACGGGGUGGUGGUUUGUGAUGGUUGGAGAAGGAGAAGGAAGGGUAAACCAAGAAAUAUGUUUGAUUCUCCAUGUUGACGUUUAUCGUUGCGGUGUUAAAGAUGAUGUGGGUGGCGGUGAUUCACAACAAGAUAAUAAUAUAUCGGAGCAUCGCUUGAAGUUUUGCUCAUAACCUCUUAUGGUGGAGAGAAGAAACAAAUGGGAGAGAGAAGAAUUUUUUCCAAAACAUUAUGUGUUGAUGUAGAACCUACCUACACACGUGAAUUUGACACCUUAGCAGGAAACGGACAUUAUUGGUGGUAAAACUAAAUUGUUGAUACAUUUACAUAAUUGUGAAUUAAAUUUAUUAUUUUUAUGAUAUAAGAACUAAAUUGAUCAUUUAUCCUUAUAUAAAUGUCCAGUUUAAUUUGUUUUUGGAAAGAUAUUCUGUAAUAAUUAAGAUUAAACUUAUCCUAUCUGCAUUUCGUAAGCGACAAAAGUAGAUAAUUAAUUAACUCAAAUUUUUUGGCUUCACGCUUAAUUGGUUCUUAGUUCUUUCGUCUCUCUCGAUCUUCCAAUCGAUCUACCAACUUAGAAAUGUCUCUGCAGCCAAACAACAAAUAGAGUAUAGGAAAAUUGGAGUGGAGGCUAAUAAAUUAUAAACUUAAAUCGUAGUGGCACGGCCAUAAUCUGAUAAUCACAUAUUCCAUAGCAAAUGUGUUAUAUGUUAAGGUGAAGUUGAGUGCAGACACUUAAGCUUCAAAGAAGCUAGCUAUUCGUGAUUACGUCUUUCUCGAACUUUUCUUUAGUUGUGCGUGACUGAAACUCAAUAUAGUACAACGUUAAAUUAAAUGCAACUAUAUAUUAUAUAGUUUAAUAUUCCAUAUUGGCUUUGCCAUGUUAUUAUAUUAUAGUUAUAGUACUGAAUAAAGUCUACUAUCUUCUAUUAUCUAUCUAUUACACUGGAAAUUAUCUCCUUUAUUCACUGAUUUAAGAUGGUAGAAACUUGCUAAUUACACCUUUUUUUUAUAAGUACACCCAAAUCUUUCCUUUUAAAUCUUAAAUAUCCAUUAUAUCUUUUAUUUAAUCUCUCUCACACUUUCUCUCUUUAACGCAUAGGCAACGGUAUUAUCCAUGUAUACGCACAAGUAUCAUACUAGUUAAUAUGUAAUGAGAGGAGUUAUUGCCUCUAAAAACUAUAGUUCUUAUAGUGUUAUGCUUGAUUUUUUUUUUAAAAAAAAAGGAAAGGAAGAUUCCAGAUUAAUCAAAGCAUUUUAAGUAUGUUGACACCCUAAAAGAAACCCAUCAUUAACCCGAUGACCUUAAAUUUAUUAAUGAUAAACAGAGAAUCAAAAAGGACAUAAGGGCACCAAAUCAAAACUCAUGUUAAAAAGAAGUAAACUUAUACUAAUUAUGAGAUGUUUAAAAUCAAGUAAUUAAGAUCUCAAGUUUUUUUUUUUUUUGAGAGGAAGAUCUCAAGCUAAAAUGAGCUUUCUAAGGACAUUGUAUUUAAUUAUUUAUGAUAUAAACUUUCAUAUGAUUUGUGAAAUAUGGGUUGAGAUAUUUUCCAGCAACAUAUUCCUCUUCAACCUCUUUAUCUUUUUCUCUCACUCUCACUCUCUCUCUUCAACCUCUCCAUUUGUCAGCGUGGAAAUAACGUAAUCAUCCUUUAUGAGGCAGCGUCUUGGAGGAGAAAGAGAGAGAGAAUGUGUGUUUUUAACCUUAUAACCUUGUUGGCUUGUUCGGAAAAAAGCUUGACCUCCUAUAUUAAGGGCAUGCGAGUAUUUUUCUAUGUUUACUAUUUUAUUUUUACGUACUUAAUUUAUUUCUUAAUUUUUUCUCUUCAACUAAAUAAUCUAACAUUCAAUAUUGUUUUAUUAUAUUUUUCCUUUUUCAAAUUAUAUUUCUUCUAUUUCAAUCUAUUCCAUUUCUCUUCUCUCUACUAAACAAAACAUAUAUUUUGUUGCAAGAGAGGUAAAAGGACAGGAUUAGAUCCAAAUUCUCUAAAAUAUUCGUCAUGUACUAUGUUAUGCUCUGUGUAAUAUUUUUUGGUAGAAAAUACAAGUAUAUAAAAUAAUAUUUUUUUAAAAAGCAAAACAAAUAUAUUAGAUAACGAGUAUAAGAGUUAUCCCAACCCACAUACACACACUAUAUAAAAAGAAAAUUGUUAAGUUUUUUUAUACUUGUAAUGAUGAAACAAUUUAUAUCUCCCAUUGAUAUAAAUAUGAUAUUACCGUAGGAUCCUAUUGUAUUCUGGUACAACUAGUACCCUUUUAUGUGCUAAUAUAUAUUUACAUUUUGUCUAUUGAAAUAAAAUGAUAAAAAAAUUUAUAUGUAAUUUUUAAAAAUUUGUCGCUGAAAUUUUAGUGACACUAAUAUUAGUCACAAAAAUUGUUAUUAGUAAUUACAAAGGUUUUGCCACUAAUUCUUUGGUCAAGUAGAAUUACUAUAUUAACAAUAAAUUUUGUUUUCUUUUGAGUAUUUAAAAUAAUUAAUUUUAGUUUUUUAUUGUGUAUCAGUUAAUUCUUUUUUAAGUACAAUAACAAGAAAGAAGUUUUAACAUAAAAUUUUAUAUAGACUACUCAAACUCAUUAUUAGGUCCACUUUACUGGAUUAUCUAUCAUCUAUCAGUCAAUCCUAACGCACAUAUAUAUGCUCCAAAAACGUGUUUGUUCAGUUGAUGAUGAUAUAGUUGUUUGUUAAAAAUAUCAAGCAAAUCAUCAUCGCCGACAUUAAUAAAUUGCUGUACACAUGAGGAAAAAGUAGUAUUUGAAUUCUCAUCCUAAAAGCAGAAAAGGUCCUAAGUGAAAUAUUGGGGUGAUUCCCAACCUGGCUGUGGAGCAGCGCAAGGCUGGUGGGGGAAGCUUAAAAAGAUAAGAAAUCAAUCACAUAUAUCCUAUCAUAUCAAGAAUAUGGGACAUGACUAGCUAAAAGGAACAUAUAUCUAAGUGUAUUCCUCUCUCAUAUAUCUUUGGUGUGUGGGCAUUUGGAGGAUUGUUUUUUGGAGCAUUUGAAAUGAUAUAGUACUACUAGGAGUAAGAUUGGAAUGGUAGUGGCUAGCUAUGCAAUACUAUCAUUCAUCCAUUCCAAAUCAAAUUUAAUAAUAUACACACACAACCUUUAGAGAAACGCCAAGCUCGUAGAUUACAAUAUUUUCAUGAAAAGGAGAGACUCCUAUGAAGUUCGAGGCCUCAUGCACAUGCUUCCCUCCUUCCAUGAAAUUUUAACCACUUCUAAAGUGGGGUACGUACACCGUGAAUUUUCAAACCAAAGAAUUCAUAUGUAGAGUCACAAAGUAGUAGUUGUAGUGCAUAUGUAUAUAUAUUUGUGUGGUCGACUUGGGAGUUAAAUAACACCUAGAAAAAGUCAUUGUCAACUAAUCAAAUAAGACUAUUAAGACGUACCUAAUUAAUUUGGCAUCCUUUAUCAUUAUCAUAUGCACGUUAAAGUACAUAAUUAGGAUUAUGUGUACUACUCACCGAAAGUGAUGUGCUUCAAUAAUUUCUUAGCCCUCCACGUACCAAUGAAGUAAACCAAAUCACACUAACUUUGUAGAUUCACAUGCCCUUCCAAUCAAAGUACAAGAAGGUGAAACCAUCAUGCUACUUUGCUAUAAGAUAAUUUGAUCAUGUUUUGAUGAUAAUUUGAUCAUAUUGAAGCAAUAUCUAAUUUUAUUGCAAUGUCGAUUUAACAAGGCUCUUACUAACACUCAACACUAAUUGGUGGUAAUAAAGAAUUAUAAGAUUUUGUAUCAUAUAUUUGUAUAUUGUGGAUUAUUUAGGUAAAGGUUUCUAAAAGUGGGUUGGUUAGGGAGAGUUUUGUUUUUGUAUUUGGUUGGAAGGUAGAAAGCAAGUAUAGAAGUUAAUGAACAAAUAUAGUUGGCCAACGUGGGACUGACACAUGGCACCCCGCGUGGUGUGAAAAUUGGGUUGGCGGAAUGGGCUUUGUGGGCCGAAACAACCCUACAACUCGCGUAUCCAAUUAUUUUGGGGGCUACCACACUUGCGUCACAUGAGCCUCUUAGAGCAAGUUGAUUCUUUGGUAGAUUUAUUAUUGAGUAAUAAAAUGUGAUUAUUUGGAAAAAUGUAUAUUUUAUUAUUAUAAUCAAUCAUGGGUAAUUAUGUUAAGGAAAAAAGUCAUAGUUUUAAGCAAAUAUAAUUAGUGGGUUUUAUGAUCAAUCCUUGUUAAUCUUAUUUGAUAAGAAAUGAGGUUUUCUAACAUGGCCAUGUUCCUAUUUCCAUAAACUUUUUAAUAAGUAAUUAUAGGAGAAAAAUAAAAAAAUUAAAAUGAAUUAAGUUAUUUUCAUAAAUUAAAAUUAACUCACGUACAAGUUAAUUUAUAGAAUAUCUCUCAAUUAGCUUUUCUAAGAGCUGAUUUUAACAUAAACAUAAGCUAAUUCUUAUGAGAAACUUAAUUAAUUUCAUCUUUACAUUUUCUUUUUCUGUAAGUGUUUACUGAAAAUGUUUAUCCAAAUAAAGCCUACAUUACAUCACGUAACAAGAAGAGGGAAUCAAAAUUUCUCUUCUCUAUUUCAGUUAACUUUCAAUUAUCCACAUCAACUUAAUUUCUCCCUGCCAACUAAUCAACAAAUUGUAUAUGAUUUUUUUUCAUGUUUUAAAUUGAUUUUACUUUACAAAUAUUAUGUUAGCUUAAGUGAAAUUGGACUCAAAUAUUUUGAGUAAUGUUUUAUGUUUGAGUCUAGUGAGUAAAAAAAAAAGUGAUUGUAAGAGACAGUUCCAUUAAUUAAGGUGAUCAACUAGAAUUUUUUUAGUAAAAAUUAUUCAUCAAAAAACUAAAAAAUAAUACUUCACAUUUAUAAUAUGAUAAAUAAAACUUAUUUCACUUUUUUGUUAAUCUCAUACGACUAGAUAUUAAUGAUCAUUAUUGUUAUUCCCUCUUCAUUAUUUAUAUGUUAGAUCGACUAGGACGCUUCUUAAUUGGGUCUUUUAAAUUUUGUUGCAUUGAUGAUAUUUAUCUUUAUCUUUUGCGAUUCAUGUAAUUAUCAAGAUAAUAAUUUUUAAAUAAUUUUCUAUUAAGUUUAUGUCAUUUCAGAAAUAUGUUUUAGAAUUUAUUAUUUAGCUUUGUUCAGUUUUAUAUGCACUCCUUAUCAAAAGAAUCUCGUAAUAAAUCUUACCUAAAGGGUAAUGAUAAGAAUUUUGGAAAAACCUCGUUACUAAAGUUAGCCAAUAUAAUUAGAGAAUUCAAACCUUUAUAAAACACACACCUGAAUUCCUUAUUUUCAAUGUGGAAGUAGUAAACACUGCUUGAGAGACAUGAUAAAAAGAAUUGGCAUCUAUUAUUAAGAACUUUUAGAAAAUAACAUCACACAAAAAGGUAUUCAUUGUAGUUAAAUAGUUAAAAGCCUUAUAAAUUUCACACCGAUAUUCCAUACCUUCAAUAUGAAACUUAAGUUGCAUACCUUAUAAUUGAAUCCUAAUACAUAAGAUUACAAUUUGGAGGUUGUUAUCCUUAUCCUUGCAAAUUGACCCUUCUGUUUUUUGUGCUUUAAACAACGACCCCUGUCCACUCCAGUUCUCCGUAAGAAGAUAUCGUUAUUGACUAUUACCGGUAUGUAACAGAUGUCAUGCUGGCACAUUGGGUGAAUGAAAAUCCCAUGCCUCGGCUAAAUGUGUCGCACUUAUCACCUAACUAAUCAUCUUGUAUAUUGCAAAAAUUUAUAUUUUUAUGAUAUGCAAAAUAAUUAGUCAGAUGAUAAUUGCGACACAGUUAAUUAGAGACAUGCCUUGUGAUGAUUGAUGAAAGAAAACUUACUAAAAGGAAAAAAUAAAUCCUCACCAAAUUAUAUGCUAAUCUUAGCAUACUUUUUUAUGCAUAAUCAAGUAUGAUCUAAUAUAAUAAAAAAAUAUUAAUCAAUGAGUGUCUUUCAAAUAUUGAUUAAGAAAUUAAAAAAUAUGUAAAAUCAUAUUAUUUAUAAAUUUUUUUAGGCUCUUAAUUUUUAUAAUUAACAUUUUUUCUUUUUAGGUUCUGAAUCGGUAUUCCACGGAAGAUCCAUGCAAUAAUGUCACUUCAUGAAAUAUUCACUAAAAAAAAACAAAUGACAUGAUAACAAGAGAAAAAAAGGGCAUUAACUCUCCACUUCAAUCACUCGUUUCCAAAUCUUCUAUUUAAGCCCCUCCAACCCCCUCUCUCCUUUCAAUCCAAACUCAAACCUAAAAAAAACCAACUCUUACUUUUUUUUCUCUCUCUGAACUUCCAAAACUGCUUCUUUCAAACAAUCUCUCUCAGCAAACCCCAAAGGCCAAUUAAAACUCAGAAAACCAACACAAGAGAGAGUGAAAAAUGGAGAACUUGUUUCGCCUAGUUGACUACGAGGACAUGUUCUCAAAACGUUGCAUUUGGGUCAACGGACCCGUGAUAGUAGGAGCUGGUCCUUCAGGGCUAGCCACAGCAGCAUGCCUCAAACAACAAGGGGUACCCUUCAUGGUUCUCGAAAGAGCAGAAUGCAUAGCUUCCCUGUGGCAAAAACGCACCUACGACAGAUUAAAGCUCCACCUUCCAAAACAGUUCUGCCAGCUCCCUAACCUUCCAUUCCCCAAAGACUUCCCCGAAUACCCCACCAAGAAACACUUCAUAGACUACCUCGAAUCCUAUGCUCAGAAAUUCGAGAUCAACCCACGGUUCAACGAGUGUGUCCAGUGUGCUAGGUACGAUGAAACCAGCGGGCUGUGGCGGGUGAAGACCGUUGCCACGUGUGGCUCCGCCAAGAGCGAGUUCGAGUACAUUUGCCGGUGGCUCGUGGUGGCCACCGGCGAGAAUGCGGAGUGUGUGAUCCCUGAUAUUGAAGGGCUUGGUGAAUUCAAAGGUGAUGUUAUUCAUGCCUGCGAGUACAAGUCUGGAGAAAGCUUCAAAGGGAAGAAAGUGGUUGUUGUUGGUUGUGGCAACUCUGGCAUGGAGCUCUCACUUGACUUGUGUAACCACAAUGCUUCUCCUUCCAUGGUUGUUCGUAGCUCGGUAAGUUUCUUCUCUUUUCUUGUAAGGAUCUGACUCCUCUAGAGUGAGCAAAUCGAUACAUAAGAAAGCAAUCAUCAGCGACGACUGAGACUACUUACUUUACACCAGCUUACUCCAGAGGAGUAGACUUUUGGACAAAACUUAGAUACAGUACUUUUUUUAAGUGUUUCUGAGGAUGUUGUCCAAUUAGAAUUGGAGUUUUACCUUGUUAUGCGUAUCGUCUAGGUGAAACUUCAAUUAUAAUAAGAAAGCAUAGCCAGAAACACUUAACUGCUUAUAAGUUUUUUUUCCUACAUUUUUUUUUAAUGUUUUCAAUAUAAAGAGAGAGGGGAAUUUUGAGGGUGGUGAUUAAAUGGGGUUGUUCUGUUUUUGAUUUGGCAGGUUCAUGUGUUGCCUAGGGAGGUGUUUGGGAAGUCAACGUUCGAAUUGGCGGUUUUGAUGCUGCAAUGGUUGCCACUUUGGUUGGUUGACAAGAUUCUAUUGGUGUUGACAUGGUUGGUGCUGGGUAACAUGGAGAGAUUCGGGCUCAAAAGGCCUUCAGAGGGUCCAUUGUUGCUGAAGAACACAAAGGGGAAGACCCCUGUGUUGGACAUUGGUACCUUGGAGAAAAUUAGAUCCGGUGACAUUAAAGUUGUGCCAGAGAUUAAGAGGUUCAGCAAUGGCUACGUUGAGUUUGUUAAUGGUGAAAAGCAAGGAGUUGAUGCAGUUGUGCUUGCAACCGGGUACCGCAGCAACGUCCCUUCUUGGCUUCAGGUGAGAAAUUGUUACUUUCUAUUCUUACAAGAAAGAAAAGUGUCCAAUGUCUAUUGUCUAGUCACUAGUGUCAAUAGAAAAGAGAUUUUUUUUGUUUUGUUUUGUGAUCAUUAUUAUUAUAUAUUUAUAUUCAUGGCUAUAGAAGAUUGUCAGUCAUGAAAACUUUUUUGGGGUAGAUUUUUUUUGUCCUUUUUUCCAACCCCAAUAUAUUUUUUUAGAAGCUUCUUUGUUUUGGACCCUUUUUGAAUAGUAACUAGUAUUUUAUUUUAUUGAUUUUUUUGUUUAAUGGGGCAGCAAAAUAAUGUGAUUGUGGUUAUGUUAUGUGCAGGAAGGUGAAUUUUUCUCCAAGAAUGGUUUCCCAAAAUCUCCAUUUCCUAAUGGUUGGAAGGGAAAUGCUGGACUUUAUGCAGUUGGGUUCACAAGGAGAGGGCUCUCAGGUGCCUCAUCUGAUGCUAUGAAUAUUGCUCAAGAUAUUGACCAAGUUUGGAAACAAGAGACUAGGCAAAAGAAACAACGCACCACUGCUUGUCAUAGACGUUGCAUUUCCCAGUUCUGAAUCACUCUAACUCAAAAUCAAAUACAACUACAUACAAGCAGUGAUGUUUCUUUUGUCAUAGGAAUUUGUUGGUGUAUAAACAAAAUAACAAUAUCUUUUGUAAGAAUACAGAAAAGAAAAAGAAAUAUACACGAAUAACAAAGAGCAGAGCAACAUAGGCCAUAGCCCUCUCCCAUGGCCCAAGUUUUUGACUUUUUUUGGGCCUUAUUUCUUUAGGAAACCAAGGAUGAUGAGGCUUUUCAGUUUUUACGAUUUGUUUUCCUAUAUUCGUACGGCUUAUACAUGUAACCAUAUUUCAUUGAUCAAGUUAAAUAACAAUUUGAAUUUCAUUUCCAUCUCUUCCCUGUAUUUAAUAUAUUUUCUUAAGAUUUAUAAGCAAUUUUUGUCUGUUUUCUCCUUUCUUUUAGCAAAGAAACUUAUGUUGGUGAUUAGAAGUGAUUUUUUUUUUCUCUCACUCAAACUUUGUCAACAAGGACGAAUCUUAGGGUUGUUGAGCCAAAAUUUGGUUGCAGCCAACAUUUAUUGGUCAAAUAUGGAAACCCCAAAAUCUUGAUGAAAAGAAAAGGAGAAAAAGGUUACCAAAAAAAGUUUCCAUUUUUAGGCUUCAUCUUAGAUUUUUGAGUCCUUGCCUCUUUGCUUCCAUCGAUUAGACUUUCUCCGAUAAGAUUGGGACUAGGACUAAUCUAACUGAAGAAUUUUCAUGAUAGACUUUCUCAACUUGUUGGGGGUAGAUUUAAAGCAGCUAGCCAACAAACUGGAUGCAAAUUUCCUUAUCCCGGGUUGAGUAUCUUGUGAUGGAUCUUCAUGUGAUGUAAAAGUUCAUUAUCAUGUUGAUAUAAACACAUUGGAGAAUAAGAUGUUCUAACUUACCUUGUCUUUUCUCUAAAUAGUAGAGAGAUUAUAUAUCCUAUAAUUAGUGGUCCACAGCGUCAAUGGUUUGAUGUUUGUGACAACUUGUAGGGCCAACUCCAUCGCCCCCAUCACAUCUCUCUCUCUCUCUUCCUUAGAAAUUAAAGCCAAAUUUAAGAUGGCUACAUAACAAUAUUCCUGUUAUAAAACAUAUACAUUGAUAUAUUGGGUUUGACCCACAUAUAGAACUGUGAGGUUAUUCAAACAAUUGUUGCACUGCACAUGGUCAAAGCUUAAUUAGAAGAAUCAAACCCUUAAUAUAAAUUGCACCCAAAUCAUUUCUGUAAACCAUAAUUCCUGAAUACCCUGAAUAUAAUCCAGUUCACAUAACUUAGGACCUAAUUAUUAAGUCAUGUUUAGAGAGCGAGUUGUUUAAUUUUUAAUAAAAUAAAUAUAAUUAAUCUUAAGGCUCAUUGUCGAAUUUAAAAUUCAAGGGUGCAACUUUCAAUUGGAGCAACUUGAUGAGAUUUCUGGAAACACUUGGGUUCAGAUGUAAAAACACGUGAUAAAAAAUUAAAAUUAAAACCAUAUAGAUCAAUUUUGGAAAUUAAAAUCAAGUGAAAAACUGGGUCUUGAUUUUCUAAGGUCUAAGACUCUGACCAAUGGCACUAGCUAGGUCAUGAAGAACGCGUCUUUGCAGUAAACUAACUGCAUUUUACCAGCUCUUCAUAAAAUGAAUGUCUAUCAAAGACUAAAGAAAAGUUUGACAUGAACAGUAAACAUUUCAAAGAGGGAAGGAUAUAAAAAUGUACCAAAUACACUGCAUGGUUGAUUACUCCCCUAAAUAAUUUAUAGAAGACCUAAAAAUUAUAGGGUGUAUGACUAAGAUUCAAAGAGUUAGCAAGUUAAGAUUAUGUAUAUAAUCUGUAAAAGCUUCAAAUUUGAAAAUACUUUGCUUUUACCUAACCAAUUAGAGUCAUAUACCUACCCCUUAGAAAUUCUUAUUUGAAUAGGAUUUAAUUUAAAUAUAUUAACAUUGUAAAAUCUAAUAAUUUUUUUUAUAAGCCAAUGAAAUUUUAUUGAAGAAGACCAAACUUGGCACAAGAUGUGUCAAAGUUUAGUGAAAAAUUACGUACAACAGCGCAUUCGGUAUUUCAAUACCCAUUAAUCUGACAACCUAGCCAAGAGAAACAUAUGCAUAAAGACACUGUAAACCCAUUACAUGACUAUGCAGAGCAACUUUUACUUCCCUGCAUUGGUACAACUUUUGCUCCCAAAAAACAUAUAAACUAACUAAAAAUAGAACCGGUGCAUGUUUUUAUCAUUUCCAUGCUGUCCCAUUGAAUUUGCUUCCAACUCCUCUCAAGAGACUGCAAUCUGUGAAAAACUUACACCAUUCUGCAGAAGCUCAAACCAAUCUGAUGUUACCAGUUACCAAUCAUUAAUUGUCAAAUAUAAUAAAAUUAUUGGAUUUAUUAAUAAUUAUUUCAAAAGCUAUAAUAAAUAAGUUGACGAUAUUGACAAGAUUUAAUACAAUUAAUAGAUAACUGGGUUCUUUAAACAUGCAUGUUGUCAGGAUUCAAUUUUGAAACAUAAGUUUUCCAACCAGUAACCAAGAAUGGUAAAAUUAAAGAUUGAAAGUAGAACUAAAUUAUGUGAAUUAAAAGAUACAAGGAAAAAGAAGUGCAAACUACAAUUGAUAGUUGGUAGAUUACUCCUUUGUCCUUAUGACCUAAGUCCACUUCCCAAACAUUGUAUGAUAUUUUUCAAUUAAAACUCAGCUUCAGUUAAUGCUUGAAACCUCUACACAAGCCCUCUUACUUAUUGCCACUCUUGGAGCUUGAAUCUCUUUUAUAAAGGAUAUAAUAAAGAAAAUAAAGUGUUUAAUCUUUCACGAUAACAUAUCACACAACUUGAAGCAGGAACAUGAUCCGGGAUAUGUCUCAACAAGGCCUGAUAAGAUUGAUUGACAAGAUUAAUUAAUGCCCGGAUCAAUAAUUGCCAAGAAGUUGCUGAGUGCAUUAAGUGUCCUAAGUCACAUUUAUAGUCCAGUGAAAUUAUAAUGUCGGGAAUAGUUAGUGGCACAUUUAAUACUGCAAAACCAAGUUAUGAUACACUUCUAGUUAGUGGCACAAUUACACUGACCUGAUACUCAAUUAAUAGUCUUAAGAACACUUUUUAGGUGUUGUAUGAAUUUUUUUUACCUUUUCAUCUUAUAUAAUUCAUCUUUAAAGGUAAUGUAUAAUUCUAAAAGAAUUAUUAAAUACACAAAUUAUUAUGAUAUAGUUUUUUUUUACCAAAAUAACCCUGUAUUAAAAGAGAUAGUAUGUGACAAGUUGAUUACAACAUUGAAAACAAAUUUUUGAAGAGUCAGUCAAGCAUUAUUGCUAAAAUAUUACCAAAUGUCCUAGUAUAUUACCAGCGAUCAAAACUUGGGUUUUUUCACCAAUCAAACAAGUUUUUCACAUUCCAGGUUCUAGAGCAAAAUUUUGUAAAAUCAAAGUAGAUCUUUUUUCCAAUAUCAAAACCCAUCAACUUGAAGGAUUUUGAAGUGAACUUAAAAACAAGCUAAAUUUGAGCUUAAUGAGAUAUCAAGGAUUGCUUUAAUUUGUCCAAGACCCUGUGUCCUAUAAAUUUAUUAAUUGUCUUUGAAGUUCCUUGAACUUGGUCAUAGUCAUUGCUAUAUUUUCAUCAAAACCUUCCACAAUCAUGCAUUUCACAAAAGGGUCUAAUAAUCUCCCAAGCUUUUGAUGGCACAACUAAAACAAAAUCCCUUACCUUCAUGGCGUCAUUGAAGGAUCCUAUCUUAUUAGAGCAACUUUAUAAGCACUUUAUCCUUAAAGCAUUGAUUUUUUCUCUCUUACUAGCCACCUAGACCACAAAUAAAAAGUAGAUUAAGACCCUGGUCUCUCUCGAACAACUGCACCUGUAGCAAGGAAAGAAAGACACAUGAUUGAGACUCAUCUGAUAAUGUCUUUUCCUAUCUUUGCUGCAUGGCCUUGUACUAAAUUAAGCAACAUUACUUCUAUAAACGAUUGUACUUGUACCUAGCAUUACUUUUUGAAAAAGUUAAUCAUACAUCCCAAUUUUGGAGUGUAUAGAUAAAGGGGAGAGAGAGAUUGAGAAAAAAAUUAAAAGAGAAAGAAAUUAAAGAUGUGACAAAUGAUAUAAUAGAAAAUAAAGAAAGAGAUAAAAGAAAAAUGAGAUUGAAAUGAAAUGGAGAAGUUGAGCAUACAAAUUUAAAAACCUUACUUUCUAUAAAACCAAAACUUAGCAACUAUUGAGGAAGGAGCGUUAGAAUUAUUCUCAAGAUUCUACUGGACCUAAGCCUUUAGAAACUUCUUUACUUUUGGAAAAAAUGAGCCUUUAGAAACUAAGCUGGUGUUGCACCAAUCAAUCAAAGAAAAGGAAUUUAUAUCCGCUUUUUAAGAUCUUAAAACACCAAAAGUGGAACAGGUAAGAACCACUAUACUAAUCAAAUUAAUCAUUAUGCUUUUAAGUGAUUAACACUCACAUAUCCGCCUAGUAAACAAGGACAGAGUUACACAAUUUUGUCUAGAGGCCAAAGAGAAAUAAUACCAUUAAUUGGGAGCCAAGGGUCCCUCAAGCACAAGGACUCCCUGCGCUGCCCAUGCUUGUUAAGAAUUCACUUGACACCUCUAUUACAAGAAGUGACAAAACACUCCAAGGAUUUAUUUCUUAUUCUUCAAGCAUCAAAUAAAACCCUCUCUCUCACUUGGUUCAGAAUCAUCUAGAAAAUGUUGACAACCUACCUAAAGAAUCCAACUAAGAAAUUGCGAUUUUGUCAAAUAUUAAAAUGUUGAUAAAUUAAUUGAAACUUGAGUAAGUUUCCUUGGGCAAUUUGGUCAUGAAUUCAUUAGAGAAUGAGUUAGUGACCAACAUUGACACCACAACAUAACAAAUUACUAACAUUGGCAUGGAUUAUGGUCAAAUACAUAAUGUGUAAGAUUAGCCUCGACUAACUGUUACUGUGUUUACACACAAAAUACUACAAAUAUUUGUCCCUUCAAAUAGAAUCUUCACUCUUGAGUGUAGAAGUUGGCAGUGCUGAUAUAUGACCUAGUUCACCUUCUCAAACAGGACUCAACAAGUAGAAACAACCAAUAUGAGUGCCCAUGCUAACUUAUUCAAAAAUAAUUUAUGUAAGAUUUUGAACUGAAUGGCCCAUCUAAAUUCUUCACCUCACCAACCCCAAAUCAGUUAGACUUUCAGUUUUCUCCAAACCCGGCUGCAUUUCACAGCUCCAAUUUGUUUUGUUUCUAUUGGCUUUAUUACAUGUCUCUGACUUCUUCUUAUUGGAGACAUUCACUGAUAAUAGCAUUAAAAAUACACACAUGGGAUGAUUACUAUUCUUCUUCACCACAAGGGCCCAUCAUUCACCUGCUUACUCAGAUUAUACAAGCUGCUAAUGUGUGAAACAGAACUUGUUCUCUUCACAUGCUAAUGUCCACAAUGGAUUUGAGCAGGUGGACCUAUGAAAAUCCACAAAAAAACAUAUAGGUAGUAGAAAAAUCAAUUUCUUAUACAAAUUUGAUGAUCUAUGUAGUAUACUUCAUGAAAGAACAUUGCAGCACAAUAUCAUCUACAAUUUUUAAGUAAUUGUACGUCUACAUUCAUGUCAUGUACUCUUUAGUACUGUUGAAUUACUACUUAUACUUAUUUGGUUUUGCUGGAAGAUGGAAUUAGAAGCACACUUUCAAUUACUAAUAUAAAGAAACUAUUUGAUUCAUUCUUCUCAUGAUUAUUACUCUAAUAGUAUAUUGAAGUGUUUUUCUCUGAAGUUGUUGGCAAAAACUUGAAUGAUAAUGCUCACCUACCUAUUGCGCCAUUACACUAGUAUAUAUGCCCUUGUUAUCGGUUGUAUCGUGCAUUGCAACCUUUUCUACAACUAAAUGGCAACAACCUUGCAACAUCCGCAUACCAAAAUAUGCAUAUUGUUAAUUAGAAAGGUUUUCGAAUGUAUGAUAUAUUGAGAAUAUGUACACUGAGAAUGCUCUUUUUUUUGUACCAAAUCAAGAAUGUUUCCAUGAGUUGAUUUUCACCUCUCAAGCCAUACUUUUGAUUGCCUUUCUAUGUCUUCGCCAAUUACAACCGAAAGAUAAAUUGAGACGGCGACAUGUUUUUGUCAGAUGGGAGUGGUCAGUAGCUAGAGUAUGAGUAUGACUUGUUCUACUUACCUCAUGUGGCAGAUCAAACCAAACAUCCUUAAAUAUCAGAGACAGUGUAAGCAACAAAAACAUGGUCUCAUGGCAUGUUGGGUAGACAAUAGCAGUACUCCUCAUCCCAAGGCUGCCACCUCCAAUCAAGCAGGCCUAGUUGUCAGUCCACCCUCAUGUUCACUAGAUGACAGUGAUACCACAUUGCCAUCACUAUGAAGUGUUAUCUCCAAUGAAGUUGUGCAAGAGUGGACCAUACACAAGCUGAGAGUUCAUGAUUGAAUGCAAAAUUGAAAUCUGAUUCCAAAACCAUCCAGCUAUGAGAUGUGCCUUGGUUGACAAGGACACAAGACUGACAUUUAAACCCAUUUCAAAUUGUUGAAAAUUGAAAUAGUCAAGCCGUUGUAGAGAAAAGCUACAAUGUAACAACUUUGAAUGUGACUAUGGAUGUUAGUUAGGGAAAAUAUACAAGAGGGAGAAGAAUGAUGAUUAAUUCAACGGAUGUAGCCAUGGCAAACCAAGAUUCGAAUUCCUGCUAGGACAGGUGCUUACAUUUAGUGUUCGAUUAUACCUCGAACAUAAUUGCCUUUACCGGAGGACAUAAAAAAAAUAUAAAAAUCUAACUGAUGUAUCAAUGACUUGGUGAGCUAGCUACUUGCAUUUUUGGUUGCCAAAAAUAAUCUCAGUUUGUUGUCCAUUAUGAAGACCAGCACCUUGAUCACUUUUAAUUUGUUCUGUGGACAAUCAACCUCAUCACUUAACCUUUUUCUCGGGCCAGCAUUAACGCCAUCACAAGGAAAUUCCCAAUAGAACAAACAAAGAAUUAAUAGCACCAAAACAGUGGCAUGUGAUUGUGAAAUACCAGCUCGUUUGAAAUGACUAUACAGGUCUAGACCAUAGUAGUGGCCCAUUAGGAUUCUUCAUAUUUGAGUGGGUGAAUGCAUGACAAUUUGGACCGAAGAAGUCCAGAUUGGACAUAAAAAAAUAAUAGGAUACGUUACUUGUGAUGUAUAUAUAAGAAUGACUUCUUAUCCACAAGUUUAAUCUUUUGGGGUGGGUCAUGUAGGUUCAUUUGGACAACGUACCUCAAAAGUUCAUUUGAACUUUACACUUUUCUUUUCUUUUCUUUUUUUGCGUACUGGACAAAAGCUAGUGUCAAGAGUGGAUCUCAUAAGAGCGAUCCUUGGAUGGUAACAAAGAGGAGAGAGAAUUGGCGUCUCUUUGAUGGAUCAAAAUAGCUUGUUGAAUAUGCAAGCUACUUACUAUGCACCUCUCAGAUUUAGCAUGUGUGGACUUUUAUGCUACAUGCAUGAUAUUAUGGAUGAAGAAGUCCAAAACGGUUUGCUAUUGCCACCUCCAAUUGUUAAUUUUUUUAUUAGCAAAUGUUAAUGGUUAAUUUGUUAGUUCUUAUUAGCUAGAAGAUUCAAGUCUACCAUCUAUUCCUCCCUCCCUUCUCCCUUCACCCCCAAUUGCUAAUGACAACCCUUAGAUGUGUAAUUUAUUAUAAGAUUGAAAUGUCCAUUGCAAUGGUGAGAAGAGGGAGUUUGAACGGAUGGAAAGAGCGAAGGGAAGGGGUGGGGGUGGAAAAAACUGCCUUAGGGAUAAUUUGGUCUUUUCCUACUAGUUUUCAAAAAGUGGCAGUAAGAAUGGCAAUUGUGGUACUGGGAAUAAUAGUCUCCAAGUUUGAUGCUAUACCACACAAGGCCUCCCACUGACUACCAAAGCCUUUUUUCCCCUUCAAAAAUUACACUGAAUUUCGAUUAAUUUGAGUCCAUUUGAAUACAUAUACUAAGGUAGUUUUGUUUUUACUUUUUUCAUUCACUUACUUGGUGUCAAGUUUCCUCUUUUAUCUGUAAAAAAAAAAGAAUUUCCUCUUUUAAGACCUAUUACAAACUUUUGCAAUACUAUUAAGUUAGUAAGUAUUACACAUCUUGUACAAUUUUUUUUUAGAGGUGAAAUACAAAAAUAUAAAAAUAUACUUAUUGAUUUUUUUUUAUUGAUGUCAUUGUUGACUUUAAGGUUUCAACAAAAUAGGUGAUAUUAUAGUAUAAAUUUUCACUUUUAAAAUUUAAACAGUUUUACAAAAAUUCAUUUCAUUUGUCAAAUGGGCACUUUUAUAAACUUAAUUGAUUAAUCUAAAGUUUAUCUGAAUAGUAAGUAAAGUCUCUGACAAAAAAUUAUUUUUGUCGAGAAACGAACUCGAGUAUUAUUUGAAUAAUUUAAUCUUAAUUCUAUGUGUCACUUGGUUAACAUGAAGGUAUUAAAAGCAAAUUAAUUACAUUAUUAAUUAAUAAAUAAUUAGUAUAGUUGACUAUUAAAUCUACUUAUCCUAUAAAAAGAAAUUAAGCAUGGUUCAUUGUCUUAUUUUUUUAUAAGAAGUCUUGAAUGUAAUUCCGAUUAGGAUACUUUAUUUUUCACACGAAGGACUAAAAUUAUUUAUUUUAAAAAAUAUAAAAAAUAUCUUGAUUUUAAAAUUAAAAGACUAAAAUUAAGAAUUUAAUAUUAUAAUGAGAAAAAAAAUAUAGUUUAGCUUUGGUGAAUUGUAGUCACUUAAAAUAGUACAAAACAAAAGUUUCUCUCCAUUUAUUUAAUUGGAACGAAAGUAAAAAAAAUUAAAAAAAAAAUACAAUUUUUUUCUUAAAAAAACAUGCCUCUAAAAUUACGAGUUAUAUAAAGUGGUAGACAUCAAAUGAACUAGUACUGAAUUUGAUGGAUAGCAUAUGUCACUAACACUACUGGUUGAGAAAGUCAAUGGAAUAUAGAAUUAUAGAUACUUUGUUUGCAGGAUAAAAGAUAAAGGUGAGAAAAUGAGCAAGAAUAUGAAUAGAAAAAAAAUAAAAAUAGCAUGUUUUUGUAUUAUUUGAUAGACUUAAAAACUUUUUGUAGACGUAUGUAAAUCAUACCAAAUUAUUUGUUUCCAUUUAUUUAAUUGAAAAGAAAGUAAAAUAAUAAUAAUAAUUUUCUUAUCAUCGUCUAGGCCUUCCACCCCCAACGCCCAUCUCUGGUUUAUUAUUAUUGGUGUGUUGCGGAGCUUCUUCUACAACCACCGCAUUCUACCCGCUAAGCCCAAACCUAAUUAAAUUCCAAAGCAAUAAGAUCGGUUAUGGAUUGUAUUUUUCGUCAUUUGUAUGAUUCAUGCCUUUGUUUAUGCAAAUGUUUCACAUAGACACACUGCAUCCAAUGCAAUUCCUACUUCCAACUAGCUAAAGAAAUGUUUCUCCCAUAAUAGAAAAAAUUACAACAUAUUUUAACAUGUAUAUUAUAUAGAAAUAGAAUAAAUGUUUACUUUAUAUAAUUAUAAUUUAUAAUAUAAGAUUAUUUUUAAUUGAAAUAGACAAACUAUUCCUGUCUAACGUUGAUUCUCCCGUGUGUUAAGUAUAUUUAUAAAUACUAAAUGCAGGAAAAAAAGAAUGGAAGAAGUAAUAGUAUGGCAUUGGCAUUGGGUAACGCUAUUCCUCUCUCAAACUUGAAACCUUGUCCAAAGUUAUCUUGUUGUUGUAUGAAGAAACUCUUUUUCACUCACUCAGUCCCCAUUUCUCGCAUCCCAACAACGCCAAAGCGUACUCCCACCACCGUAGUUCGAGCCACUUCCUCUUUCGGGUCUCGCCUCGAAGACACCAUCAAGAAGACUGUAGCCGAGAACCCAGUGGUGCUUUAUUCCAAAACAUGGUGCUCCUAUUCUUCUGAGGUCAAAAUCUUGUUCAAAAAGCUCGGCGUCGACCCAUUGGUCUUCGAAUUAGACGAAAUGGGUGGGUAUUCCAAUUCAACUCUCUUUCUCUCAACCCUAACUAUUCAUUAAGGGGCAAAUCAUUCUACACUUAUCAUUUCGUUUGUAUCUUAAAUAAAUGUUAGGUCCUCAAGGCCCACAGUUGCACAAGGUAUUGGAAAGGAUCACAGGGCAACACACUGUGCCAAAUGUAUUUAUUGGUAACUAGUAUUAUUCUUCUUACUUAAUCAUACUCUCAGUCACUCAUUGUCAGAUAAUUUAUUGCUCACCCCUCACACACAUGUCUAUACACAAGACAAGAGAGAGAGGUCUUGGUAAAAAAUUUCUCAAUUUGAUUCAACACACCUAGAAGCUUUCCUUUAUAGGCUGAUUACAUGAUGUAAUAUCUUUAUCAGAAAACUCUAAUUGUAGUGAAGUAGGGCAUUAAAUGCUUGGCUGAUGAUAGCAUGCAGUUCAAUUGUAGGUUUUGGUGCCAAGACUUCUUGCCGUUUUCUUCAGCUUUCUACUUAGGCAGUUAGGCACCUUCAUUACUGCACUAUGGUACAAUUUAAAUUGCAAUUAAAAAAUGGUGCUAUCUUGGGGAAGCUAUUAGGUUCAUGUAUUAUUGACUGCUGGAUAGCUGCUUGUCUUGAGGUUGUAAAUCCAUCUUGAGUGUGGUGUUAUGCUCAUUCUCAGUUUUCAAAUUUCUUGCCAAUGAUUCAGAUCAUUUUUAUAAAAUGAAAAGUGUGAAAACUUUAAUUUAGGACGUGAUAAUAUUUUGUUCCUUUCAUUAAAUAUCAACUAUAAUUUUAACCCAACGGAAGAUACUAGAGAUAUUAGAAUAUGAGCUUAUCUGCUUAUAUAUUUCACUCAUGCCCCUUAAGUUAUGAAAUGACAAAAUCUUGUACAGAGUAUAGACAUCUGUGUAUGUUCAACUUGAGCUGCUAUAUAGUCUAAAUUAUAACUUGAAAAUUAUAUGACAUAUAGGACAUAUAAGAAGCACUUAUAGGUUGAGGACAUGCUGAAUAUGCUUAAAAUCUAAUGAUUUACGAAACUAAGUCUAUGUACCUCAAGAGAGAGAGAAUUUCAAGUUCGGCUGUGAAAGUUUUACUGUUUUUUCUAAUAAAAAAAUCAUUUGAGUGAAAAGAAAUCAUUACAACUGGGCUAGGAUAAGGUAUCAUCUAAAAAGCACACAGAUGACAGAAUAACAAAACAGGAUUUCUCAGUUUUUGUGGGAAGUGGGAACUAUGAGGAAAAACCUCUAAGGAGACAUUUCCAACCCAAUUAUCCUCCCAAAUUUGAAAUUAGUGUUGUCACACAAGCUAAUAGAAAUAAAAAAAAAAUCUGACUUAGAAAGAUAAACUCCCACUGUCCCACAAAUUAACAUUAGUUACCUAAAGUUGAAUCAUUAGGUUGGGGUAGCAUCCAUUUUCAUCUCAACCAUACCUAUUUAAAGUCUAAACAACUUGGUGCCAUAAAGGAGUAGUCUAUUCAGACACCAAAUUUCCUUAGCCCAACCUCCCUUUGCAACAAAUCUGCUACUACACAAAGUUAUUAUUUGCACACAAUUUGAGAGACAGUCAGAUAUCCAGUUUUCCCAUCUAAGUCCACAGCCCUUUCUUUGAAGAAUGUUACAUUUGAAACUCCAACACAUUCAACCAUAAGCUUAAUCGAAACCCAACUUGAAAACUAGGCCACAUUGACCGCUCAAAAUCCCUGAAAGUUCUUACGUUCAAUUCAGGUCUCUAUAAUAUUUCAUACUUGAACAAUGUAUUGCAUCCUCAUAUUAUCUACAAUAAAACCUUGCUUUUGAGUUCAUCUUUUGAAUGCAACAGUUUAUAACCAAUCCUAAAGUUGUUCUUCUUUAUUGCAGGCGGCAAGCACAUUGGCGGCUGUACAGGUAUAUUUUCCCUGUUUUUUUGUUUUUUAUGUUAUUGAUUGUCUGGGUAAGGAUGUCUUAACAGUUCAUAACAUCAUUUUUCCCUCGGUGAUUGAAGUGGUACUAUUUUUUUUUUGGGUAAUCUUAUUUAUUAAUUUCAAAAUAUCUAUAACUGCAAAUUCAAACUGUCUGCAUAUACGACCUUGGUAUUCUAAAAGUUUUAGAAGUUUAAGGCUAUAAAGUUUAAUAAAAACCUAAAAGUGUGAUUUCUUUGUUUUUCUCCUUUUGACCAACAUUGUUUUCUACUCAUGCAGAUACACUGAAGCUGUAUCGGAAAGGAGAACUUGAACCUUUGCUAUCAAAAGCUAAUGCUAAAAAAACAGGGAGCUAAGCUGUUGACUGGCAUCCUAAAGGGAACCUGAUCCCGUUACCAAGUUGUUACUUUUAAGGUCAAUGCAGUUUUCUCAAUGUUAUUGUUUGUCACAAAUGAUGGUUGAAAGAAAUCAGACCGCACUGAUAACUUGAAAAUUGACGUUUAGUUAGGAAUUUAUAGUUACAAAUAUGCAGUUGAAAAGUUGCAACUUGGGAUUGUACCUGGAAUAUGGAUAUAUUUAUAUUUUACUUCUUAGUUAGUUAAUGAUUCUACUCGACCAUUUUGUUUUAGAUGGCACGAUUGUCAUGCUCAAUCCAAAAUACAAUAAAUAAGGCACAAUCUAAAUCAUUCUUCAUAGGACAUAUAUUGAGUUUCCAAUCAAUCAAGAAGGCACAUAUGUACGUAAUUGCUAACUUGAGACUGAGCCCGCAAAAAUUUAUUGGGUGGAAUCAGAAUUUUCCAAUUUUAUCAGAAUUGUGAACCAUAUAUAUCUCUUAAUUUUCUUGGAAGAGGCAAGGAAAGCCACUAUUGGCUUAUUGACUCCGCCAUCUAUCUCUAGCUUGUAAAUUUAAAUUGAAAGUUAAGGUGAUAUUAAUUCAACUGUCCAAAGAACUGAACACAAUUAAAACGCAAAUUAUUGUGAACACAUUCUGCAGAUUGAAUGAUGGUUGACAUGUGAAGUAGCAUCAUUGAAACAAGAACAUUAUCCAAUCCAAUUAUCCUAGCACAAGGAAUUUUACUAAAUGUAAAGGAGUAUAUCGUACAGAUAACAUAUCAGUUCUAGCCAGCAUUCAUGCUAUCUGGGAUGGAACCAUGGUCUCCCUCUUCUGCUUGUAAUAAUCAAACAACUCUUGGUGACUUGGGAAGUUUGUCUUGAUAGCGGGGUGCUCCCUGAAGUUCUGAAUCCAAGUAAACAAGCGAGGGAAAUCAUCCACAACUAAAACUUUAAUACCAACAACAUCUUCAAUGACUCCAAAAAACAAGGCUAUCCAUCCCAAGUUUAUGUCUAACAGUCCAAUUUCUUCACCACCAAAAUACUUCUUGUCCCCAAUGGUUUCUUCUAAUACUUUGAGCACUUCUCUGACUUCCUUUCUUGCCUUCUGAAACUCUUCUCCAACACUCACAAAGAAUGACAUAAAAGAAACGCUCUGCAAUUGGGAUUACAAAUACAGAUGAGAGAACAAGAAUAGAGAGAAUUGAAAAUUUUAACUGUUUAACCAACAACCUUGUUACCUUUUCCUCUGCAAAACUAACCCAGAACCUUGCCACGGCCCUCUCAUACGGGUCCUGUGGAAGCAAGUGUGGCUGUGGCCAUGUUUCCUCUAUGUAUUCAAGAAUAACCAUGGAUUCAGCGAUUGGCUUUCCUUCAAGAACAAGAACUGGAACCUUUUUGUAAACUGGGUUAUACUUCAACAGCAAAUCAGAGAAAUCAGGCUUGUUGAAUUCUCCUUGUAUAUACUCAUAUUUUACGCCCUUCAGCUCUAAAGCCCAUAUGAUCCUGUAAACGAAUCCACUAGGCCAAACUCCCAGUAGCUUCACUUCUCCCAUUGUAUGGUGCAGGUGCGGUUCUUCAACUGCACGUUGUUUAAGUGAUUGUUAGAGAACUUAGUAUUUCCAAGUUUCACAAAAUGGUACUCUACUACUUGUAAAAUGUAAAUCUUAUUAGGAAUGGAUCAUCUCAUUAAAUUUGAUGUAAAUGACUUGAGUUUACAAAUAUUGACAGUGUAAAGUAUUUUGACAUUGACUUCCAAUAUGAUCUAACCACUUUACCAAUAUAAAUAAGCCUCAUUUAACAUCUACGAGAAAAGAGACAUACACAAAUUUUGAAUGACUUGUGUACACGAGAGUACCAAUUUCCAAAUGUUAAUAUACAGCAAAAUUUGUCAAGGUUUAGGUUGACAAAAUGAGAACGACCAAAAACAAUGAGAGUAACAUUUCCAUUGUCUAUCCCACUUCUUCUGUCUUUAGCUUAUUCUGACCUUGUAGUGCCAGCAGAGAAGCAACCACACGAUGUUAAAACAUUAAAUACACUUUAUGAAAUGAUUUAAAUUACUUCAAAAGAAAAAAGCAUUGCAUGAGUUUUGUGUUUUUUUAUUUAAAUUUUUUUUGCUGUUUGUGAGGGGUUAUUUUCUGUUCCUUUUUUUCUUUUCUCAAGAAGAUCCGAAGAAAAAUGGAGCUGAAGCAAAUAAAAAUAGAAUGACACAGGUUUUGAGUUUUGACAUGUAAUUUUGUUCUCAGAAAAGAACUGAACUUGAACAAAAUUGUAUUGAUUUCAAAAUUUGUUAGAGGAACUUCAUACUGUUAAUUCUAUGACAUAAUUUGAUAGAAGACUCAACACAAAUGCAUAAAAUGGUACCUUAUGACCAAGUCAAAGAUCUUUUCCCGACAUAGCAAGAGAAGCUGUCAAACUUGAUAUCAUCUUAUAAUAUGGCAUCGAAUUUCAAUAUUGGAUAUUUUGUUUAGCAGGCUAAUCAAGUCCAAACUUCAAAAUAUCAUCGAUAAAAUCUUUUACAAAAAUAUUGACUUACAGUUUAAUCGUUAAUGCAGAGUAUCAACCGAGUGAGGGUAGUCCGAUCCAAUUCUGAUCUCAAAGUGGAUGAAUUGGUUGUGAGAAAGAGGAAGCCAUGAUUUGGUCGUGUGUAAGGCUGCCAAGAUUGACCAUUCAUACAUGGUCUUUAGUUUUAUUUUUUAUACUAUCGCAUCAGUGUGUUAAAAAGUAGAUUACUCCUUAAAAUUAUUAGAUUAAGAGAAAAUAAAAGAUGAAAAGAAUUUUUUUUAAAUUACUCUAAAAACUAAUUUGAUUUACUCUUUAUAUAUAUUAGGUUAAAAUACACUUUUAGUCGUUUAUGUUUUCAACUAGUUUAAUUUUAAAGAAACUCAAUUUAAUCUUUUAUAUUUUUAAAGUGAGUUAAAAUAAUUAUUUCAAAAUAAUAAUAAUUUUUUUAGUUUGGAACAUGAACUUAUUUUUUGACUAAUUCAAGAUGUGAAACUUAUCUUAUUAGAUUCAUUUACAUGAAAAUUAUGAAAUCUAACUAAGGUUUGAAUCAAACAAGAGUAUGAUGAAAAUUGUGUGAAAAAUAAGUCUCAUGAGCAAAAAAAAAUCUAAUAUUAGAUUUUUUCAAUUAUUUAAUUAGUCAUUAUCUAAUUUAAUGAAUUAUUGUCUUGAUAUGUGAAGUUUCAAAGUUGCAUCAUUGAUACAAGAACAUUAUCUAAUCAAAUUAUCCUUGCACAAGGAAGUUUACUAAAAGUCUAAAAGAAUAUAUCGUAAAGAUACAUAUCAGUUCUAGCCAUCAUUCAUGCUAUUUAGGAGGAUGGAAUAAUAGUCUCCCUCUUUUGCUUGUAAUAAACAAACAAAUCUUGGUGAUUUGGAAGGUUUGUUUUGAUGGCCUGGUGCUCCCUGAAGUUCUGAAUCCAAGUAAACAAGCAAGGGAAAUCAUCCACAACCAACACUUUAACACCAACAAUAUCUUCAAUGACUCCAAAUGACAAGGCUAUCCACCCCAGAUUUAUGUCUAACAGUCCAAUUUCUUCACCACCAAAAUACUUUUUAUCUCCAAUGGUUUCUUCCAACACUUUGAGCACUUCUCUAACUUCCUUUGUUGCCUUCUGAAAUACUCUGCAAUUGGGAUUACAAAUAUAGAUAUAUAGAUGAGAUAACAACAUUAGUGAGAAUUAAAAUUUCAACUGUUUAACCAACAACCUUGUUACCUUUUCCUCAGCAAAACUAACCCAAAACCGUGCCAUGGCCCUUUUAUAUGGGUCCUUAGGAAGCAAGGGUGGCUGUGGCCAUAUUUCCUCUAUGUAUUCAAGAAUAACCAUGGAUUCGGCAAUUGGUUUUCCAUCAAGAACAAGGACUGGAACCUUUUUGUAAACUGGGUUAUACUUCAAUAGCAAAUCAGUGAAAUCAGACUUGUGGAAUUCUCCUUGUAUAUAUUCAUACUUUACACCCUUGAGCCCUAAAGCCCAUAUGAUCCUGUAAACGUAUGGACUAGGCCAAACGCCCAGUAGCUUCACUUAUCCCAUGGUGCAGCUCUGCAACUGCACGUUGUUAUAGUGAUUCUUAAAGAAGUUAGAAAAAAAGAAUGGUUGCAAUAUUUUCCAAGUUUCACCAAAAUGGUACUAUACUACUUUUAAACCUUAUUAGAAAUGGAUCAUCUCAUUAUGAAAUGAGUUUAAUUUCUAUACUUUGUCAACCAAUCCAAAAUCACAAUUAGUAUCACGUGCAAGAUUAUCAUAAAAAUCAACAAACUAAACAUAUAUAUCAAUUUGAAAUUGAAUGAAAGUAUAAAAAUCCUUUACAUACACUAUUUACUCUAAAGUUAUAUUCAAAUUAUGUAUUUGUCUCUCUCUCGAUAGAUAUUAAAUAGGCCUCAUUUGACGUCUGAGUAGAGCGAUAUACACACACAAAAAAAAAAACAGCAGAAAUCGUCAAGGUCUAGGUUAGCAUGAUGAGAAUGACCAAAAACACUAAGAGCGACAUUUCCAUUGUGUCACACUUCUUCUGCCUUCAGCUUAUGCUCACCUUGUGGUGCCAGAAGAGUAGCAACCUCUCAAUGUUAAAACAUUGUAUACACCUUAUAAAAAUGUUUUAAAUAACUUUAAUACAAAGCAAUGCAUGAGUUUUGUAUUUUCUUUUAACAUUUUUAUUUUUUUGCUGUUUGUGAAGAGCUAUUUUUCUUUUCUCAAGAAGAUCCGAAGGAAAAUGAAGCUCAAGCAAAGAAAAUUGAAUGGCAAAGGUUUUGACAUGUGAUUUUUAGUUCUCAGAAAAGAACUGAAUCGCUUCUUCUUGAACUGAAUAGUAUUAAUUUAAAAAAUUGUUAGAGCAACUUCAUACAUAUCAUUAAUUCAAUAACAUCAUUGCCACUUCCAAAACCUUUUCUCAGAAAAGAACUGAAUCGCUUCUUCUUGAACUGAAUAGUAUUAAUUUAAAAAAUUGUUAGAGCAACUUCAUACAUAUCAUUAAUUCAAUAACAUCAUUGCCACUUCCAAAACCUUGUCAGCCACACCACUAUACCUCUGGAUUAUAUAUAGAUCACUGUGCAAUAAAUAAGAAACAAAUAAAGUGAAUAUAGCUGAUUGCACAUAUGGAGGUUUUGAUAGAAGACUCAAGACAAAUGCAUAAAAUGGUAACUCGUGGCCAAGUUAAAGAUCUUUUGUUUAGCAAGAGAAACUGAAAGACAUGAUAUCAUCAAUCAUAUGGCAUCAAAACUUAAUAUUGAAUAUUUUGUUUAGCUGGUUAAUCAAGUUCAAACUGCAAAAAAAAAAAAAAAAACAAGACUUACAAUUAUUGGGUAUUGAUCUUUAAUGCAGAGUGUCAAAACUGAAGGUGAGGGCUGUUUGAUCCAAUUCUGGGGUGGAAUGGUCUCGCUACUAAUAUUUUGACCAUUCAAACGUGGCUUCUACUUUAUGCAGACUUCUCUCUUUGUCAUUUUUUUAAAACUAUCAUAGUAUACGUUUUCAUGCUAAUAAUAUAUAUAUAUAGUUAAAAUGUAUUGAAAUCUAUAAAAUCAGAAAAGAGUUAUUAAAUAUUAGGUAAGACUCAUUCAAUUUUAUAAUUCUUAAUAAAUUUUAACCAAUGAAAAAAGAUAUAUUCAAAAGAGUCACUUUAGCAUUUAUAAUUUAUAUAUUACUGGUAAUUUCAACUAAAGAAUUAAAAUGGUUAAAUGAGGAUAAAAGUUUAAUUGUGUAAGAAAUUAGGACUUGAAUAAAUUACAAAUUUCGGCGGACAAAAAUAAGAGACUAAAUUGAAUUAAAACUCGUAUAAAUUUUAAAGUGAAACAAAAUAAAACUCAAUCCCAACACUUUGUAAUUUGAUUUUGAUUCAUCUAAAUUUUCAUUGCAUUCUUGAUUUUGUCUUUGCUUGUUUUCUAAAAAAGAGAAUGUAGUAAAAAAAAUAUUACUACUUGUCAAUAUUAAUCAUUCUUUUUUUUCAAUCAAAUCAAACCUAAUCCAUCUUUUGUGGCUCAUAUUAGAAUCGUUGUUGUGAAGUGCAAAUUGAUAUUCGAUACCUAAGAAUGAUACUCCAUUUUAACCACUUUGGAAAUUAUUGUUUGAAACGAUCUGUUACAUUCCAUCAUCCCAAAUUAAAACAAAUAAUUAAAACAAAAAACAAACUAAAACCUAAAUUAAACUUACAACAGAAAAAUAUUAAACAUUGCAUUUCUAAAUUAUAAAAAGCUGUCAUACUUUUUUCUAAAAGUAUGAUUUAUUGAAAAACUGAAAAAAAAAAUAGAGAAAGAAACGUAUCUUGUGAUCUUCAUUCUUCACUCUCCAGCAUCCCAGUAAUAAUACAAAUCAUCAACGUUUUGAUGAAUAUUUGUUAGGUAAAUCCCGUCAUCCCUAGCACUCCAAAUGCACUUCUUCCAAUCACACUUUUGAAAAAGACGUUCAUCGUACCAAAAAACAUCAAAUGUAGCACUUUCACAAGCAUUGUUGUUGUCCUUCUUCACAUGGCACCAAAAUAGUGUUGAGUGGGCGAAAUCUGUCCUAAAACUCCAAGUGAAAUUGGACCCUUGAGAUAGGUUGCGGACACCCAAAUCAUCAUCUGCGGAUUUGCAAUGGGCUAAUAGGUUUUGGUUGUUCCUUAGCCCAUUGACAAUGUACACAUGCCACUUUACGAAUUCAGGGUAAACAUCUGAAGCAAUUGGAGAGGCAAAGGCCAAAAUAAAUAUUGCCAAAAUAGCUGAAAUUCUAUUCUUCUUUUCCAUUUUCACUUCUUUUGCUUUGGAGAGCUCAAUGGAGUAGUUUAAUAUAUAAAUUGUAGUUGUUCCACUUUCCAUCAUGGGUAAAAAGAUUGAAUCGUUUGUGGGAAUUUUUGGCAUUUAUGAAGUAGCAUGCUGCUUGAGAAAAAAAGGAAGAUAUAGCAUGCUGCCGUUUAAAUAGACAGGGGAAGGUUUUAUUUUCGGGCCAUGGUAUGCUUUAUUGCAUGGAUGUACAAUUAAAAUUAGUAAUUGGCUUAAAUGGACAUAGGACUGUUACAGUGGAAAAAUAAAAUGUAAUAAUAACAUCCAUUAAUUAGAAAACCAAUCAUUGAUAUUAUAAUUAAUUUUAAAUUUUGAUAUAUAUGUGUAUAUAUAUAUAUAUAUAUAUAUAUAUAUAUAUAUAUAUAUAUAUAUAUUUGAUUUUAUCACAAUUUUUAAUUGUUGGCUUUUUUUAAUUAACGAUUGUGAAUGUAUUUUAUUUUUUAAAGUAUAUUUUUUAACUAUGAAGAGUCAAAUCUUAGAAACAGAAGGUCAACAGAAGUUUGGUCAAGUGAAAAUGAGUUAAUCCUGUACAAUGUGGUAAAGGUUAGAAUCCUUGCUAUAAAAAAAAACAAAGUACCUCAAGUUAAAUUCAAUUUUAAAAAAAAAAUCAUUUUCUUUUGUACGGUUCAUUUUUUGCUUAAAUAAAUUAUUUUCUCAUUUACAUUUAGGUUACUUUAUUUUUUAUCCCCUGCAUUUGAAUGUCUUUUUUAGUCUCUCAAUCUCAAGAAAAAUGUUUCUUUUUUGUUUUUUUCUGAAUUGUGAUUGAUUUUUGGCUGUUUGAGUGCAUACAUAAUACAUUGUGACUAUUUCUAAUCGCAUGGAUUGAAAAGAGUGUAUUUCAAAAUUGAUAUAGAAAAAAAAAUUAACUCCAAAGGAGAAAAAAAAAGUGAGAGACAAAAAUAUAUUUAACAUUUUUCGAAAAUAAUAAUAAUAAAUUAAUAAUGGGUUGCGGGUAGGGGUAAGCGUGGCAAUACGAGAAUCAUCCAAAUAAGGAGAUGAAUGGCCUCAGAAUUUAGUUGAGUUCAGUUGCAGACCUUCACAUGGCAAAAUCAUUCUUCACUUAGUUAGGAACCGAACCAUGGCUAUAACGUUCGGUUUAGUGACUCCUAACUCCAACACUUUGUGUCUCACUCUCACCACACCACCCCUCAUCGCCAAUCAUCGUACUACUAAUGUUGUGUUCUCUGGUCAAAGUGUCUUCAGCUAUGGACACACUAAUCUUUCUUAUUCACACCAAAGGGCUUCUUCCUUUGCCACUAUUGUCUGUUCUGCUGCUAAUAAACCAUCCUCUUCUUCUGAAAUUAGGUACCCUCUCUCUCUCUCUCUCUCUCUCUCUCUCUCUCUCUCUCAUGGAACAAGCAACCAAUUGGGAACAAUUUCUUAAUUUUUGUAAAAAAAAAAAUAGUUUCAUUUUUUCAAUAGUUAACUGUUCUUUGAUUGACACUUUGGAGUGUUUUCCGGAAGAUAAAUUGUGUUUAUAUAAGUUUUUUUUUUUUAUCAACAAAGAAGAUAGGAAGAAAAAAGAGAGAAGUGUGUGAUGAGGUUGUUGGUAUGUUAGAAAGAAAGAACAGAAGUAAAAUAAUGUUGCAGAAAGUAUUAUAGAAAUGUGUUGUAGAAAUAAUGUAACCCUCUUCCGAAUGGUGUUUGUUAUAUUAAAGUAUAUUCUAUUUCUAAUUUAAUUGUAAUCAGGAUGUAGAGUUGAGAUGCAUGACAUGAUCAUACAUACGUACAUAUGCAUAGUACAGGUAGCAUUAGCAUAAGAGGAAAAUGUAGCUAUCAAUUGAUCAUUACUCAUUAGAAUUGAUGCCGAGAGUGGCAUUGAAUGGCCACAAACAAACAUGUAAUUUUAGUUUUAAGUUCAUAAUUUCACAUGUUGAUCAUAUAUUUGGAAUUCCUGGUACCCCUUUUCAGUUUUCAUGACAGUGUGACACGAAGCCUGAAAAAGAAAAGAAUAGGAUCAAAUGAGUAUGGUUUGCAUUGGAAUUAGGUUUUAUAUGGAGUGUUUAUGAGGAACAUUCCACGAUGAAAGGUAAAAUAAUCAUUAUAAUCUGAAGCAUCAUUUAGAAGAUCUUUUUGUCAGCAAUGUUGCAUGGUUAAUUUGUUUGGGCAAACCUCUCAAAUGAAUGCAGAGUUCACUCAACUUUCUUCUUUUCUUAUGGUUUCUCCUCUUUAUGCAAUGCUUGUUUCAUCAGGUUCUAUUAGCCAGUGAUGCUUCAUCAAUCAUUAAUCAUAUUUGUUCUUCAGCUCUACAGCCAAGAUAAGGAGCGAGGUUCUCUCUCCCUUUCGUUCAGUUAGGAUGUUCUUUUAUAUUGCUUUUGUUGCAAGUGGUGCUCUUGGGGGAUUCAUAGCAACCACACAACUAAUUGGUGCACUGGCUAACUCAUCAAGAGCAUCUGAAGUCCCUGAGAUUCUGAAGGGCCUUGGCAUCGACCUUGCAGCAGUGUCUUUAUUUGCUUUCUUGUAUUUCAGAGAGAACAAAGCAAAGAAUGCACAAGUGGCUCGCCUAUCAAGAGAGGAAAGCUUAUCAAAUCUUAAGCUCCGUGUGGAUGAGAAGAAGAUCAUUCCUGUGAACUCAUUGAGAGGGAUUGCUCGACUUGUCAUCUGUGCUGGCCCUGCAUCCUUUGUAACCGAGUCUUUUAAGCGCAGUGAGCCUUUCACCGAUAGUCUUUUGGAUAGAGGGGUGCUUGUUGUGCCCUUUGUAACAGAUGGAAAUUCACCUGCUUUGGAGUUUGAGGAGACUGAGGAACUUGCCACUAGAAGGAAGAGACUCUGGCAACUGGCUCCAGUUUACAUCAAUGAGUGGUCUGAGUAUGUCUAUGAGGAUUAUAAAAAGCUUAACAUCUUCAUUCAUAUUAAUUUUUCAAUAUGCAAUUGAAUUUAUUUAUUUUUUCUGAUUUUUUGAAAAACUGUUCCUGUAUUUUCAAUAGGUGGUUAGAUGAGCAAAAGAAGUUAGCUGGUGUACCUUCUGAUUCUCCAGUGUAAGUGCUAUCCAUGUUGGUGCUGACAAGUAUAUAUGUGGAGAUGUCUAACUUUUCAGCUAAAGAUCAUGCACAUCUGUUCCUUUAAAUGAAAAGUUUUACAGUCAUAUGAGGUUAUAGUUUUGCAGUGAAAUUGUAAGUCAUAUUAUAUGGUAAAGGUAGGAUAGAUACUCUAAUGAAAAGCCAUUUUUAGUUUGGGAUGCAUGUGUUACAGUGAACACUGCACAAGAACUUAGACAUUUUACUCUCUUUGUACAGGUACCUAUCCCUACGCUUGGAUGGUCGUGUUCGUGGCAGUGGUGUUGGUUAUCCUCCUUGGAAUGCUUUGGUUGCACAAUUACCACAGGUAAAGGGAAUGUGGACUGGCCUACUAGAUGGCUUUGAUGGUAGAGUUUAGAAGAGCAAGUGUUUUUUUCUACUUCUGAAGGUUGAACUCUCAUACUUACCCCCUCCCCCACAAAACAAAAAGUUCUUCAGCCCGUUUUCUUCAUAUUCUCUUUCUGGUUUUGUUUCUAAUAGUGGAGAUUCCAUUAAACUUUUAUGAUUUGAUUUUAAUUGUAUUUAUUAUUUAUUAUUUAUUUUAUUUUAUUUUUGCUUUGAUCUUCUUGCUAACAUGUUUAGAUAUGCUUUAGUGGCUCUAGGUCAAAUGAGGACUAUUUAUAUUUUGGGCAAAUUACGCUCUCAAGCCUUAAGGUUUAAUUAAAUUAUUACACUUGAUAUCCUUUUACUUUACUUUGACCUUCCAACUUCCAAGAUCUAUAAAACUGUAAGAAAUCAAGGGAAGUCCGUGUUAUUGGAAAGGAUUAUGUUGUUCUAUAAAUUAAAGGAAGUUUGUGUAAUUGUGUAGGAUUAAAAAGGAAAGGAAAGUGAAAUUUUGUUAAACUUCAAGGAGGUGCAAGUGUAAUUUGUCCUUAUAUUUUCCAUUUUUUAAAGAUAACUGAUUGUUUUGCAUUAGAAUCUGUAUUGAUCCCUUCUUGACGAUUGUCAUUUAGUAAUAUUAGCUUUUGUAUGAUUGUAGUAAGUGACAAGUUGUGUAAUGAUUGACUGUAAUAUAUACCUAAUACACCAAAAGGCAUGAAUUGUUAAGCAUUAUGUUAGCACUUAGCUUGAUGCGACUUGCAGAACACGGUGAAGUCGUGUUAAUUGUACAUAAAAAGAAUUCGCAUAGUUCACGUGAUACAUCGAUAUCACCAUUUCUUUUCAAGAUAUCAUUUAGCUAUUUUAGUUACGAAUUGGUGAUAGAAUGUACCUUGAAACACCAUGUGAAAUAUAAAAUAUUGUAUAAUAAUGAUGAAAACGUAAUAUUAUAUAAUGAUAUAUGAUAAAGAUAAUUUAAAAUUAGGGUUUAAAGAAUAAUAAAAAUUAGAUGAAAGUAAGAGUUUAGAUAAGAUUUAAAGACUAACAAACAUGACAAUAAGAUAAGCAUUUAUCAUCUUUUUUUUUUCAUUGCUCGUCAACCAUCUUAAUUUUUUAGUGAUAUUUUAUUGAAAAAUAUAUACCUAUUUUGAAAGUAUAUUCCUCGAACUAUGAAUUAUAGUUCCAGAGGUAGAGGUACAUUUCUAGAAUAGGUAUAUCUAAUUCCAGAAAUACAUUUUUGAAAAGAAAAAAGGGUGCACUUCUUAAAAAAAAAAAAAAGAAGAUAUAAUUGGUAACUGAGGCGGCGUAGAAAGGGGCUAUCAGGUGUACUUAGAAAAAAAGGUGUAAAUAGAAAGAAUCCAAAUUAAUAUUAAGACCCAGCACAAUGCCUUCAAAAGACCCCCUCAUUCUUAUAAAUAAAGUAAGAGAAUUGUUAUUGGCCUCACUCUCAUCUAUUGGCCCCCCUAAGGGCUAACAACUGUUUUAUUUCCAAAAUAUCUUUCCUACGAAAUCAUGAUUUUAUUAUAUAAUAGUGUACAAAAUUCAUAAUGGAAACAUAUUUUCAUUGUAGUGUAGCAGGUGUGAACAAAAUUACGGAACGAAAAUAUAUUUUCGUUUCAGAUUUUGUAUGUAUUAUCAUGUUUCUGUUGUGUAAAUUUUUUGUACCCUUUUUAUUCAAUGAAAAUGUGUUUCCGUUAGAUGUUUUUUGAUGAAAAAUUAAUGGGUAAAAUAUGUUUGGGGUCCCUGCAAAAUUUGAAAAGUGUUAAUUUGGUGCCUAUAAAAAUAAAAUGUAUUUUUUUAUGAUUCUCAAUGGUAACUCCGUUAAGUGGUUCUCUUAACCCAUUCGAAAAAUUACAAUUUUGAGAAGGUUUUAGUCGUAAAAAAAUGUUUAAUUCAUUUUGGGAGGUUUUAACCACCACAAACUAUUUUAUUCGAUUGUAAUUUCAUGGAAGUUUAUUGGUCACUUUAGAUUACAGUCUAAAGUCUAACAAAGUUACCAUUGAGGACAAUAAAAAAAUGUUUUAUUUUUACAGGAUCAAACUAAUACGAAAAGUUUUAUGAAAACCAAAUUAAUAUUUUUCAAAUUUUACAGGGGUACGAACAUAUUUUACCCAAAACUAAUUGUAGAAAUAAGUUAGCUUUUUUACUUAAAUUAAUUUUGAUACAAAUUAUAUGAAUGAUGGCACACAUUACCUUUUUAAACAAUAAUCAAUCAAAUUAAUUGUUACAUAAAUUAAUCUUUUUAAUUGUAAUCAAAUUAAUAUCAUCAAUUGAUUUAAUUAUUGUUAAUAAAGUUAAUUCUUAUAAUAAUUAAUUUCAUUAUUUUUAUAAAUGGUAACUUGUAUCCAAUUAAUUUAAUUUUAAUUGAAAAAUAUAUUGAAUACUAUUAAAAAUGAUAAAUUAUAUCACAAUUAAUUUGAUUACUUUUAAAAAAAAAGUAACUUACAUUUAUAAUUAAUAAAAAAAAUUAUAAAACACAAUGAAAAUACGAUUUUAUUGUACUCUUUAUCCAGAGGUCAAAUGAAAUCAUAUUUUUAUUGUGUAUCUAACACAAUGAUAAGAAAAAGGAGAUACUAGUAAGAGAAUGGGGAAAUAAGAAGGAGUUGGGUGUUUGAAUAGAGGUAAAAUGGUUUUUAUAGGGAGUGUAGGAACCAAUAGUAAUUUUGAUAGAAUCAACAUCAUAUAUAUAUAUAUAUAUGAAACCUAAAAGAAUGUCAAGAAAACAUUUGUCACACCACACUAAAACAAAGUCAACUUUCACAAUCGUAUUCGAAGCAUAUAUCAUUACCAAAUUAGUAAUUGGAUAUGAGUCCCUAGUGGCUGAAUUCAGGAUCUGAAGGGGAGCAAAUUAUUUUUAAAAAAUUAAUAAUAUUUGUUAUUAUGAAAAUAAAACAUAAAAUAAGAUAAAAUAUAUUUUGUCUCUUUAAAACUUUUAAAGUUCAAUAUAUUUUUAUCAGUUUUUCAUCUCUCAUUCAAAACGUACCACUUUUAGUCCUCAAAGUACUUUAUAUAAAGUGUUAUUUAAACCAUUUUAAGAAACAAAAGUGAUCUAAUUCAAAAUUAGAAGAUAAAAAUGGACAAAAAAUUUAGAGAAACUAAAAACAAACUUAAAAAAUUUUAGAAAAAUAAAAAAUAUAUUUUAUCUUCUAAAACAGAAUGAAAUGUCUAACCAAAUAAGUAUAAAAAGAAGAAGAAAAAUUACUAAAGAAACUAGUCUAUAAAAGGUAAAAGUUGAUGACAAUUAAAAAAUUAAAGACAACGGCUAAAUAAUAAAAUUAGAGGGGGGAAAUUGACAACACAAAAAAUAUCAUAAUGUUUUUCACAAAGUAAGGGGGUGCAGAGUAAUUAACAUGUAGGUUCACCAGUAGGCCCACCCCUAUUUAGCCAAAUGUUAGAACUUGCAGUUGUUUCUAAAGGUUUCAGUCUUUUAAUCAUUGCAGAGACUACACCCCGCUCCUUCUUCCUAAGAAUUGUUCUUCAAGUGGAUAUGGGUCCACCCCUAUUUAGCCAAUUGUGAGAAAUUUCAGUUGUUUUUAACUAUUUUAGUCUUCAGAUAAUUACAGAGACUACACCCAUUUCUUCUUCCAAAGAAUUAUUCUUUCAUCCCAAGAGAAACUCUCUUCCUACAUACUUUUUAUGCCUUGGAAUAGUGUUUGCACAAAGACAAUUGUACCCUACCCUACACUACAUAAUAGUAACAUUGUAUUAAAAGUUUGAAUCAAUUUUGAAGAAAGUUUGUUCAAGUUCUGUUAAGAAAAUAAGUGUCAAAGUAGAAAAUUUAAUGUGAAAACCAGUAUUAUGAAGCAGUUUAGGAUUGUGACUUCACAUGUACUCCUUUUCCCCAAUUCUAAUUCUAAUAAAAUUCCUAAAAAAUUCAAUUGUUAACACCUCUUAAAUUUGCAAUUAAUAAUUGAUUCAAUUAAAAAUGAUGUUUUCCCUAAUUUAAUCCGAAUUAAUUCAAGGCAAAUAAUAAACUCAGAGAGAGAUUGAUUAAAAUAGAUUAAUCCACUAGAAAUUCAUACAAUAAAUUUGAUCAUGUAAAUUAAAUGAAUCCAAAUUUAUUCAUACAAUAAGUUUAAUCAUGUAAAUUAUAUUAAUUGGUGUUUUCUAGGAAGGUAACACUCACUUGAUGGUUGACAGGGACAACAAAUCCACAAACCUAUUAAAGUGGAACUAACUUUUUUUCCUUUAUUAUUUAAAUAUCUAACUUUUAAUAAAUAUUAAUUUUUUUAAAACAUAUAUACUAUUUUUAUACAUAAAAUUGGAAUUAAUUUUUAAUUUAAAUGAUAAUAACUUUAACCAUUAUCAUAAAAACAACAAAUACAUAAUUAGUUUUACACAAUUUUAUUUUAGUUAUCAACUUAAUCAUUAUAGUAAUAAUAACAAAUAUAAUUAAUUUUACAUAAUUUUAUACUAACUAACUGUAAUUAUUAUAAUUAUAACAUAUAUAAUUAAUUUUUCACAAUUUUACUUUAAUAAACUUAAAAAAAAAAAAUUAUGUACAUGAGAAAAGCAUCAAGAAAUGGUGAGGCUCAGACCCCUUCAUUCGUCCCUAAAAUAAGAACCGUCACUUUGGAGGACAGUGCCGGUAGAAGAAUCAAGCUAAUGCUUUGGUCUCAGUUUUGCCACGUGGAAGCAGUGGCGGAGCCGGAGGGAAUGGGGUGGUCUACGGUGGCCAUGACCACACCAAGGUUUUUAGAAUCUUUAUAUAUUAUGUGUAUAAUAUAAUUAUCUCUUGGCCCCCUCCCUUUGCUAUAUGAGUUUUCUUUACUCUGUCAUUUUUUCAUCCUAUACAUGUUUUACUUUUUAGGUUUCUUUUUGUGGGUUUUUCCAUUAAAUAGAGUUUUCUCUUUUUUUGCGGGGGAGGGGAUUUUCACAUGAGAGUUUUCUUUACUUUAUUCAAGGCUUUUGCAUCCAGUAUUUUCUAUUUUAUUCUAUUGUCUAGUUAUUAAUUCAUUAGCAUUUGUAUCCUGUAUGUUUUUAUUUCUUCUUCUUCUUUAUCUUGUUUUGUAACUUUUGCAUCCUGCAUUUCUUUAUUGGGAGUAUUCAAUAUUUUUUUUGUCAAAAUUGUAAAUUUGGUCCUUUAUUUUGUCUCCAAUUUUAGAUUUUGUCCCCCAAUAAAUUAAUUUACAAAUUUUGUCUAUUUAUUUAUUAAAAUCAAAUAAUAUUAGUCUUCAGGUCUUACAAUUGGACGUUGACCGUUAAUAAGUAAUAUUGACUAACACAUGUGAACGCCUUAAAACCUACUAUAGUGAGCUUUUCUUAGGAAGACUCCACUUCAAUUUUGAUAUGCCUCUUUUUAUGUAUUUUUUUUCUCUAAAACAAAUACUAUUCAUUCUUUCUCAAAUAUCAUCGCUAAUUUUAACCGUUUCAAGGGCAAAAUGGUUUCCUUCCUCACCACAAUUGGACUCCAGCGCCUCCCAAUCCCAUGUUGCUAAUGGUCAACGUUCAAUUGUAACUUAGAGAAUCAACAUUAUGUGAUUUUAAUAAAUACGAGGACAAAAUUUGUGAAUUAAUUUAUCGGAAGACAAAAUCCGAAAUUAAAGAUAAAAUGGGGGGAUCAAAUUUAUAAUUUUGUCUAUUUUUUUUAUCAUUUUUACUUAUUAACUUAUUAGUUAUUAACUUUCUUUCGUAAAUAUUAAUUAAAAUAUUAUUGAUAUCGGUAGGAUUAGGUUCCCACUUAAAAUCCUACAGGUACUUGCUCUUUUUUGAAAUUUUUGGGAUAAUAUGUUUUAAUUGUGAUAAAAUUUUAUUUUCACUAAAUUUAAUUGAAAUUUGUUGCAUCGUAUCAAUUUCUAUAAAUUUUAUAUUCAUAUAUUUCUUUUAAGUUGAAACGAGCCUAAGAAGGAAACUAUUUUCAUUUUUUUAAAAGAGGAAAAAAAAAGAUAACAAAGAAGAACAUGUGUGUAUAGUACAAUUGAACACAAAUUCUGGAUCCGUCCCUACAUGGAAGGAACAGAAGUGGAAAAUCACUUCAACAAUGGAAGGUCUCCCCUGAUUUUGACUAUAAAAUAUGUUAAAAUCAAUGUUUAUAAUUAGGAAAAAUCAAUAAAUAUCAAUUCAUCUUCUAGGCUUAAAUCCAGAAAUACAUGAGACACACGUGGAUUCAUAAAGGGAAAACAAGCUUAUGCUUCAGCUGAAGGGACCUAGUCGACUGAGGACUAGUGUGCACCAAGAAUGUUAGAUCAAGGAUCUGCAGCAGCUCAAUGGAGUUGUGGUAAAAUUCAAAGCAAUAUAUGAUAUAAAAAACAAAGGUAACAUUCUUCUUAAUGUUACAAACUCUAGGGUGAAUUUUAUGAGGAGAGAAGCAAACAACUCACACUCUAGCUAAAGUAUCAAUGUUUAAUGCUUGUAGUCAAUCUUUGAUUAGCAAUGAAUAAUUUUAACUGUUGUUUCCUUCAAAAACAAAAAACAAAGGUGAUAAUAUAUUUUACCUAUGUUGGAAAAGAAUUGGAUAUGCUAAAGAUGCACCGAACCAAUUAAAUGUACAAGAAAAAUCGUAGAUUAACAUUAAGGUGAGCACUUAAAGAUUAGAUAAUUUACAAAUUUACGCCGCCAUUUUUCAUUAAUAAUUUUGUAGUUGUAUUUCUAAAUAUUUUAUGUAACUCAUAAAAAGAAACUAACUAUGCAAAAGGAGACAUGAUCAUAUACAAUACUCAUUUCAUUAGCACCAGAAUGUUAUACAUGACCUCAUUGUUAUUACAAUACUCAAUAAUUAAUUUUAGAUAUAUAUUAAAGUAGUUUUUUAUUUAUUUCAUAUCACGAUUUUAAUUUAAUGGGUUAUUCUAUAUUUAUUGAAGAAUUUUAGAUACAAUUUGCAUUUAUAUUUUAUUCAAUUCCAUGGUUACCAAAUAACCAAUUUUAAAAUUAACGUUAAUUUUAAUUUAAUCAAAAGAUAUUUGUUUUUAUAUUUGAUUUUAUUGAACAAUUACAUUGUUACCAAAUUUCAAAUUAUAUAUAUAGAGAGAAAGAGAGGAGUGAUCAAAUUACAACUUAAAUAAUUAUUAUAUUAUAUUUAUAAUUUGAUAUCUAAAGUGAUUUUUUAUUGAUAUAAUUUCUUUAUAAAGAUAAAGUUAAUCUUUUUAUAGCUUCUUUAAAAGUAUUUAUUUAUUAUAAAUUUUAGUAUUAUAAAAUAAACUUUGAACCUAACUUUUCUCUCAAGGCAAAAUUUUCACUAAAUUAAUAGGAAUAGAAUAAGAUAAUCCAAUCCUGUGAGUAUACUGAAUAACUGAUUUUAAUAAAAUAAGAUAAUUAUUCUAUUAUAUUUUUAUUUUAUUCUAAAUAUCUCUUAAAAAAAAUUGUAAAACUUAUCGGUGACUAAAAUAGAAGUGAUUUUGAAUAUCAAUGGAAACUCUGUCCAUUCAGAAAAAAGAAAAAAAAAUCAAAGGAAAUUGUUAUCCCAUAGUUAUUUGUGUGAUCCCAUAUAUAUAUAUAUAGCCUCUUCUGUUCUUACAUCAAUAGUAUUCACAAAAAUGUCUUCUUCUUUUCACACAGGAGUUACUCCUGGAAACUCUGUCGUGGGUUCCGGUGAAGACUCGCAUGCGAUUCAGGUGUGUUUCCAAGUGGUGGUGCUCUCUCGUCUUCAAUCCUACAUUCGUUAAACUGCAUCUUCAAAGGUCCUCGAAAAACACCCACAUCCUAGUAACUUUCGAAGACCAAAACAUCAGACAAAGACAAAGCAUGCUCUAUACAAGGACUACUCGAGAACCCAUCAUCCACUCUUGGUUCUCGCCUAUUCAACCACAACAGCUAUCUCUUGGAUGUUUAUAAUGGAUUGGUUUGCCUUUUAGAAACUUUCAAAUUUGAAGAAUUCUCGUUCACAUUUUGGAACCCUGCCACAAGGUUCAUGUCUGAUGAAAGAUGAAAGUGUCGAAAAUAUUUUAACUUGCUCGGCUUUUUCCAGUCAGCAUGGAUACGCUUGAGUCGGGUUUUGAAUAUCAAUGGAAAACUGUUGUUAGUAUCAAUGAUUUGGUAAUUUUUUCAUACGAUUUAAAGAAAGAGAAACACAAGUAUUUGUCGACGCCAAACAGUCUCAUUGAAGUCCCUUCUGACCAGCCUUCUCUUAAGGUUUUGAAGGGGUGUUGGCGUCUUUUUAACCAUCGCAGGAAAACCCAUUUUGUUGUUUGGCUAGUGAGGGAGCUUGGAGUUGAUAAUUCUUGGAUUCAAUUGUUGAAAGUAAGUCUUGACCAUCUUCAAGAUCUUGGCUAUCCGCGCUUUCCAACCUAACCUAUCAUGUGAUUCUGUGCAUGUCUGAAAAUGAAGAUGUCAUGUUUUGGCAAGCUGCACAAUCCGCAGAGCUGACAAUAAAUUUAUUAUGUACAUCAACGGCAAAAUUGUCCUUUGGUCGAAUGAUUAUAUUCAAAGCUUGGUUGCGCCAUAUCAAAAUUAAGUUAUCCUUCAUUUGCUUAUUUGAAUUAUUGUUAAAUGUAAGCGGUUCCAAAAAGUUUAAUUGACCUUGAUUUAUGUUAAUUGGUUAUCAUAUUUCUUUAUUAUGUCAUGACAUCAUAUAUGUUUGUGGAUUGUGUUUCUCUUGGCCACUAUCAUUUGGGGUUCCAGUCCUUCCAUGCUUCCACAAACGCUUAAAUUCAAUUUUACAUCAAGAGGAUACAAAAAUAGGUAGAACAACCUAAUUAAAUCGGUUAAAGUCAGAUCAACCUCAGGACCAAACGUAUGAUUAUUUCACUUUUACUUUUAGGACUAUUUCAAUAGUUGUAAUGGCCAUAUGAUGCUCUAACACGCCCAAUUACUGAUUUCAAAAAAAUGAGAUGCGGGGUAAAGAUAAUGAGCAACUGGAGAAAGAAUGUAGUUCAUAGAGAAUAGAAAUCAAGGGGAUAGAUAUCAGAGAGAAUAUGAUACAGAUUCUUUUUUUUUUUUGUCGCAUGAAAAAAACUUAGGCUAGUAACUGCGAUAGCAUGACCAGAAUCAAAAUUACAAAUAAAUUGGACUCAUUCCACUUCCACGAUCUCAUCCAAAGCAUAGUUGUUUGUUGAUACAUUGGCAUAGUUGACUUUGUUGAAUCGAACCACAACAGGGUAGCGAGUGUUGGGGUCCUGCACAACAAACACAAACCACGAUAAAACAGGAAUUGACUUUGCAUAAUGCAUGGGAUGGUAGAAAAUUGAGAGAGUAUUAUACUAUUAUUGCCUAAAAGUGAGUUUAGGGGCACUGACCUGAUCAACAGCAACCACUGAACCAGUGCCUUUGUACCAGUAGGAUUCCUUCCUAAGAAUCUUCACCUGUUGAUUGCAAAGAAAAAUUAGAAACUAACCCUGUUGAUAAACAGCUAGCUCAAAUGAAUGAAACAGACAAGUUUCAUCACUGUCCUUUGUUCUUACACAUUCUAUAGAGAAAUGCUAACAACAGACUUUCUAGCAUAUGAUCUUGAAUAUAUUCUUCUUUUAUGCUGAAAUUCAUUAAAAAUCAUAAAAAUUGUACAGGUCUCACUUAUUAUUCAAUAAGUUUGACAUAAGAUUUUGUAAUUUCUAUUCAUUUUUAACUAACAAGUAAUAGAAAGAGUGUUAGAAGAAGUAUGUUAGUAUAACUCACUCCUCUAUUCUGAAUUCUCCCUCUUAAGCUUAAAUUUGAACCAGAAAUCAAUAACGCAGCUACUUAUACCCAGGACUCAAACUUCAGAUCACUAGUCAAGCUAAAACAAUUGUUUAUAGUUUGAAAAAAAGUUUUAGUGUUUAGUUUGAGAAAAUCCAAUUUCACUAUUUACUAUAUAAAUCUUUGAUGACACAAAAGAAUAGGAAAAUAAGAGGACAUGUUUAUAACUAGACAUUUUCUCAUACCAAUUCUAAUAGGGAGCUAGCCUAGUAUAUUCACAGACAAGCAACAACUAUUAAGGAUCAUGUUCAUGGGAUAAAAGUGAAUUAUUCUGCACAACAUGAGCAACAACCACUUCUAAAAAGUUGAGUUUUGAAGUAACUCACCUUAGCACCUCUCUUGGGGCCAAUAGGUGGUGGUUUUGGCUUUGCUUCAGCUUCAGCUGGAGGGGUGGUGGUUGCGGGUGCCGCCGCUGCAGGCUCGUCUGAAGCCCUCACAAGAAGCCUAGAAGCGUGGUUCUUUGUGUUGAACAAGACCACCCUUGAGUUUGUGGUGGAAGCUGCAACAUUAAGAGACAGCACAAACCCAGAUGCUGCUGAAGCCAUGAUGAUUUCUUCCUCAAACUCUCUCUGUGUGUUGUGUUGUGUGUCUUAGGUUCUCUCUUGGGUGAUCUUAAGCGUGGCAAAAGGACAAGAGCGUCACAAGCACUCAGAGGCUUUGAAUAAAAAAUGGGUUUAGUAGUUUGGCGAAUUAUCUGAUCCCCAUAAGUGUGCAUCAAUCGUGUCUACCACUAGGCUGAUGCCACUUGUGAACCAUAUCCCAUUCUAUGGAUAAUGUUAUUACAACUCAUCCUUUCGUAAAUCCCCGAGUCAACUCAGUUAGUCACUCGGCUAGGCAACCAAACUUGAAAAAUUCGAAAUGGGCCAUUCAGACAGCAAAAUUAUAUUCGGACACUCUUUAGUAAUACAGUUCUUAUUAAUUAUUUUCAUUUUUCACACAUCUCACCUUUUUUAAGUUGACUUACAAAUCCGAUUUUGAUUCAAACAUUUUACGUUAGAUUUUUUUAGUGUUAGGAUGAAGUCCAAUCCAACUCAUUCAAAUUCAUUUAUGUACUGAUUCUAAUUUUUAAAUUUGGUUCCAUGAACUCGACCCAUUUUUUUUAUCUAAAAAAAAUAAAAUAAUAUAUAACAUUUGACACAUUGGGUACCCAAAACCAUUUACAAAAGAGAGAAAUGUACAUACAUAAAAACACUGUCACCAAAGGUAUUGGCAGCCUCCCCCCGCCCCCAAUCGGAUCAUAUCACCUAAUGCACACCAAGAUCAAGACUCAAGCAUAUGAGCCAAUGAUUUUCAUAAUGGCACAAACAAAAAAGUAUUAAAUCAUAAGGCAUUUAUAUAUGCUACAACAUGACUUUUUGCACCAAUUGACCCUCUGUAUUUUAGCCCAACCAACUCACUAACCGUAAAUAAAUGCCAUGAUCCUUGCAUGCCCACACCGGUCAUCAAUUUAGCUUUCUUUCUCCCUAAUCUUCUCUGAUCACUGUAGCACUUUAAGGUAUUGUUGAAUGUUGAGUUGUCAUUGUGAAAAAGUAAAAAACCUCUGCCUCCAUCAGAUUCUUCAGCCAGAACCAAACAAAAAAUAUGAUAUCUAGGAUCAGUUUGCUCCUAUGAAAUUGUCUUUUCAUACAUUCCACGCCACCGAAGACCAAAUCACCAUCCUAACUUAUCCACCUCUUUUUUGAAGUCAUGGAUCCCUAGUGUUGCAAGAAAUGUGAGGCUGUUGAUCUUGGCUGCACAGCAUACUCACCGAGGCAUAAAUAGCAUUCUGACCAUAUAGAUUGCAUACAAGGGCAAAGAAAGAAAACAUGAUCAGCAGAAUCGAUGUCUACAUUGCAGAAUAUACAAUUAGGUUGGUCUACCAAACUAUCCUUGUAAGGGAGCCGGUUUAGAACUAAGUGUCAUACAAAACACCGCACUUUGGAAGGGACAUUCAAACUCCGGAUUUUGGAGAAAAGAUCUUUUGUUAGACCUUCCUCACUUACAUCAAAGAAAGUUCCGUAUGUUGAUUGGACAGAAUAAAGGCCAUUCAAAUCACCAUCCCAAAUCCAAGAGUCUUGUCAUUGGUCUAGGCUUAUAUACGGUAGUUUUCCAAACAACUCGGCCACUUUUUCCUCCUCCCAUGCAAACAAAGCUCUCCUCCAAAUCAUGCUCCAUCUCCAUUGGCCAUUUGUCCAAGAGCUCAUACUAUGUAAAUUCGCAUUUUGUCGGGAUGAUAAGUAGUAGAGCCUUGGGAAUGUGGUGGCUAAGGGUGAAUUUUUCAACCAUAUAUCAUGCCAAAACCGCACCUUUUCGCCACUCCCAAACUUCCACUUGCAAUCAGACACAAAUCAAUUAGAUGCCUCACUACCUUCACAAAUAGAACAUAAAUCCUGCCACCAAAUUGAUGAAGUGUUUGAUACACUACCAUCCACCAAACCCUUUCACCCCCUCAUACUUUGAUUCUAGAAUCUUUACCCAUAAGGCAUCGUGGUUGAAGAGAUUCCAUCUCCACCUGCCUGGUAAAGCCUCAUUGAAAUAGCUAAGGUUUUUGAUCCCCACACCUCCCUACUCUUUAGGUCUACACACCUUCCUCCAACUCACCCAAUUUAUCUUCCUCUCAAUGCCAUUGUCCCCCCCAAAGGAAAUUUUUUUGUAGCUUCUCAAUUGUUUUCACCACACUCAAAGGGCACUUGAAGAAGGACCUAUAGACUAAAGGAAGAGUGGAGAUUACUAGAUUUAUCAAGCACACCUGACCACCCAUAGACAAUGUUCUAUGCUUCCAAGAGUUCAACAUUGUUGCAACUUUGUCCACGAUUGGCUUCCAAGUCUCUACCCUUCUAGGAUUUUCCCAAAUAGGAAUACCGAGAUACAAAAAUGGUAGUUUGGUGAUCUUACAAUUCAAAAUGGUAGCAAAUCUCUCCAAAGAAUCAUCUUCAACCCUUGUAUCCCCUAAGUAGCUUUUGUGAAAAUUCACUAAGUCCCAGUAUAAGUUCAAAGUUUCUCAAGAUGCUUUUAGUGGUGUAGACAUUUGAUAAGGUUGUCUCACCAAAAAAAAAGUGUCAUCGGUGUAUUGGAGAAGAUUCACUUGAGUUUUGUCCUUUCCCACCAAGAAGUUAAAGAAGAUGUUUUUCUCAAUGGCUUGCCUCAUCAUACCGCACAGACCUUUGGCCACAAUAUUAAACAAAAAAUGGUGCUAGGGGAUCACCUUGUCUAAGAUCUCUUUGUGUUUGAACUCUAUUGUUAGACUCUCGUUCACCAGCACCGAGAUAGAAUUAGAUAAUAAAACAAGAUCUAAUCCAACCCACACGCUUAUCAUUGAAUCCCAAUCUUCUAAACAUGUAGAAUGAGAAUUCCCAAUUUACACAAUUAUAUGUUUUUUCACAAUCAACUUUGAAAAACAAGCAUUUUUUCUCUCUCUUCUAGCUUCCUGAAUCUUCUCAUUAGCUACCAAGGCACUAUGCAAUAGGUAUCUCUCCCCUUAAAAAAAACACUUUGUCUGUUAUCCAUCACCCCAUUCAUCUCUCUCUUUAAUCUAUUUGCUAAAAAUUUUGCAUGUAUUUUGUACAUGCAACCCACCAAAGAUAUAGGUCAAAAUUCACAGUGGUUUUGUGGUUCAUCAACCUUUGGAACAAGAGUUAUAAAAGAAGCAUUAGUACCUCUAGGUAGUGUUUAAUGACGAUGGAACUUGACAAUGAAUCUCACAAUGUCAUCCUUCAUGGUCCCCCAAAAAGUCUUCAAGAAAUUGAAGUGGAUACCGUCCAAUUUGGAGCUUUUUUGGCUAUCACAGCCCAAAUGGCUUCCAUGAUUUCUUGAUCCUCAAAAUGAUCAACAAGCAUUUGACUUUCCUCCUUCGAGAUGCAAUUGAAUGUUGCAUCAUCUAACUUUGGUCUAGGACAAAAUAUUUCAUUGAACUUGACCCGUUGACAUGUUGCUUAAUCUCCUCCUCCUCCUCCUUCUAAGCUCUCGCCGCACAUGAAAUUGAAAAGUAAUUGAAUGAUAUACUAGGUGUAUGUGCCCGCGCUAGUUGGAUUUUCAUGCGUUGAAUAUAAUAGAAUGUGAACCUAGAGUUCUACAUUAUGUAUGAUUGCUUGCUUCUAUAGUUCUAUUUCACUUUUAUUUUGUAAAUUAUUUUAAAAUUUAAAAUAAAUUAAUUUUUUUAGCCGAUGAUUCAAUCCAAACCAACUAACUCAUUUGUGAACAGAUUGGUUGGAUUGUGUUUAAAAAAAAUUACAUAAAAUCAACCCAACUCAACCAAAUAUAUUAAAUUUUGACAAAAAUUAACUCAAUCCUACCUUUGAACAUCCAUAAUUUUUCAUUCCAACUCGCUUUACACCUUCUAUUAUGUGACAUAUUACAUCUAUCACUAACCUCUACCUUUUCUUUCUUUUCUCUAUCUCUCUCCUCCCUCUACCCAGUGUCAACCUUGGGGGUUGUUUUGAUGUGCGAGUGCCCAAAACAUAUAUUUGUACAAAUAAAAAUCAAAAUACAAUUGAGAAAAGAGAACGAAGUAAGAUUGACUCAUAAAACAUAAAUUAAAAUACAAUUGAGCAACUCAGAGUGCUGAAUUGAAAUUCAGUCAUUACAAAAAGAACAAAAAUGAAAACAAGAACUUAACACAAGAUGGAGCAAGAGAAAAAUCCAUGGAAGUACUCCGUUGAAGAUCCACAUUCAUACCUAGAGCAAAUCGCUUAAAAAGUUCCAAGAACUCAAGACUUGGACUCUCUCUCUCACCAAGAACACACGAAAAUUAUAUUUUGGGAAAAUUAUAUCCACAUUUUUUACAGUCGUAAUUUACAUUUCUACUUCAAUCUAGAUUUUUACAGUCCUAAUUUUUAUACUCACAUUUUGUUAUCCCUUUGUUCUUUCUUGAGGGCAUCACUCAUCAAACGCAUGAGGAGUGUUUCAAUUUUAUUUUUAGGUCAAUUUCAAUAGUUGUAAUGGCCAUAGAUUGAUGGCUCUAGCAACAUGCCUAGUAACUGAAAUCAAUAAAACAAGACGCGGGGUAGUCAAAGAUUAUGAGCAAGUGCACACAGAACGUAGUUCAUAUAGAAUAGAGAUCAAAGAGGUAGAUAAGAGAGAGAAUAUACAGAUUCUUUUUUUGUGACAUGAAAAAUCCUUAGGCUAGUAACUGCGAUAGCAUGACAAGUAUCAAAAUUACAAAUAAAUUGGACUCAUUCCACUUCCACGAUCUCAUCCAAAGCAUAGUUGUUUGUUGAUACAUUGGCAUAGUUGACUUUGUUGAAUCGGACCACAACAGGGUAGCGAGUGUUGGGGUCCUGCACAACGAACACAACAGGAAUUGACUUUGCAUAAUGCAUGGGAUGGUAGAAAAUUAAGAGGGUAUUAUGCUAUUAUUGCCUAAAAGUGAGUUUAGAGGCACUAACCUGAUCAACAGCAACCACUGAACCAGUGCCUUUGUACCAGUAGGAUUCCUUCCUAAGAAUCUUCACCUGUUGAUUGCAAAGAAAAAUUAGAAACUAACCUUGUUGCUGGGCAACUAAUUUAAUACAAAUUCCAACUUUCACGGGAGUAUUAGAUUGAGAAUCUGUAUUUCCUUUGGCAUCAAUUUUUAAAAAUAACAUUCUUGUAGGAAUUUGUUUAGUUAUUUUCUCACAAAAUUUUUCCCAUGGAGACAUGGAAAUCUUUACAGAGUUAAAAUUUUCUUUUAUUACAUUAAAAUAUCAUAUUAUUCUUAUUAGAUUAACUAGCUUAAUUAGCUUAAAAUCUCAUGUCUUAAGGUAUUAAAUUCACAUUUUAUAAUCUAUAGGAAUAAUUUUUUAUAUUAUUUUAAAAUUUUAAUAUAUUAUUAAUUAUCUAGAAAAUAUAUUUGUAGAAAAAAAUUUAAAUAUAUUUUUAUAUAUAUACAUGCUCUAAAAAAUUGUUAUUAUUGGAAGUGUCGUCCUAGGUAAAAUUUCCUUCACUUUGGUGAUGUUUUACAUGUUUUAUUUUGACUUUCUUUUAAAAAAAAUAAUUUAAUAUUUUUUAUUUUUUAUAAAUAAUGAUCAAAAGAUAAAAGAAAAUAAAUAAAUAAUGAUUUUCUUAAAAACUGAUUACAUACAUUAAUUUUGUUCACGUGAAAAUUUAUAUAAGAAUAUAAAAAUAAUUUUGAUAUUAUGUGUAAAUUUUUUCACUUAAUUUCAUAAAAAAAGUUCAUAAAAGAAUACAAUUCAAAAUCGGUUAAAUUUAACAUGAACAAUAAAACAAUCCAUCUUAAAAUUAUUGGAUUCAUUUUAGCUCUACCAUUCCAAAGAAUGAAAAAAAAAGAGACAAUUUGCCUUAAAAAAUAUAAGUUAAGCAACAUUUCAUAUUAUAUACAAACACUCAAUGAAAAAUAUUGAUUGAAUAAUCUUUCCUUAAAAAAAUCAUCUCUUUUUUUUUCAAGGAAAAAAAUAAAUAUUUUGUAUUUUAUUUAAUUUUAAUUCAAUUAUGAUUGUUCUCAUUUUAAAUUAGCAUAAUCAAAUCAAAUUUACGGAAUAACAUAUAAUGAAUGUUGUAAUUGAUUGCAUUUAAUACGAAGAUAUAUAAUCAUGUUUAAUUACAAUAAAUUAUCAAAAAAAAUAUUACCAUAAUUAUAAUGAUGAUUUAUGAUUUGGAAUAAAAGAAAUAAAACCUAAUGGAAUACAUUUAAUGCUAAAAGAAUGAAUACAGACUUCACGUGACAUGAUUAAAGUAAUAUUACUAUGAUAAAUAAUUAAAGUAAUUGAAUUUGAUUUCCCAAAAACAUAUCUAAAUACUCACAAAAAUAUUUAUGACGAAUCAAUCAUACCUUUUAACUUCUUCAUUUUAAUAAUAAGAUAUUAGAAAUUAUAAACUUAAUUUUAAAAAAUAAAAAUAAGAUAUCAUUCUUCAAAAUGCAUUAAAAUAUUGAGUCAAUUUCAAUAGGAUUGGAAAUGCAUGUUAGCAAAAAAUGAAACAUAUUUCAUUGUUUGUCUAAAUAUAUACACAUAUCAAUGUGUGUGUAAUUUCUUAUCUAAAAUAAAUUAAAGAUAGGUAAUUCUAAUCUAAAUACUGUUUCUAUAUUCAAAGACAUUUUAUUAUUAUAAAUUUUAAUUAUAUAAAAAAAAAACAAUACUUAUACUAUGACUAAAAUCCUUAUUUAACAAAUAUCUAUGUCAAAUUACCUCAACUAAUGCUUUUUAGGAUUCAACAAUAUGAAAUUAAGUUUUCUAACUCUGUAUAAUUAGUUGUAAUUUAAAAAAUAAAUGUCCAUUAAAUAAUUGUGAUACAUAAUAUCAAUAUAAUUUCUACUUUCAUGACAUAUAAAAUUAGUAAUAAUUAAAAUUUAUUCCAUUCUCUUCCACCAUUAAUGUAAAAUUUAAAUUUGUGAUUGAUAGGAUUCUUAACUUACGUGAUUUGCAAUAAUGGGAAUGAUUUCCCUUAAAAAUCUUCGAUAGUUCUGAUACGACGACAUUCAAAUUACAUGAAUUUGGAUGGGAUUUACAUGCAAAGAAGGUGAGAGAAUUUCAUUGGAGAACUUAUUCUCUUUAAUGAUAAGAGAUAAGAAGAUUCACUAAUUAACCGUUAUUUAGUUUCUAAUAGAUUUUAAGCAACAAUUACUAGAAAGAAAAUUAGGAGUGUAGUUGUAGCGGUCACUCCUCUAUUUGAAUUCUUCCUCUAUAUAUAUUUGUAACAAAGAAACUCAUCUAUUUGGAUGACAAGAAAGAAAAUGAAAAUAAGAGGACAUGUAUGUGUAUAUAUAUAUAGCUAUUUUGCACAACAUGAGCAACAACCACUUCUAAAAAGUUGAGUUUUGAAGUAACUCACCUUAGCACCUCUCUUGGGACCAAUUGGUGGUGGUUUUGGUUUGGCUUCAGCUUCAGCUGGGGGUGUGGCGGUGGCAGGUGCCGCCGCUGCAGGCUCAUCUGAAGCCCUCACAAGAAGUCUAGAAGCGUUGUUCUUUGUGUUGAACAAGACCACCCUUGAGUUUGUGGUGGAAGCUGCAACAUUAAGAGACAGCACAAACCCAGAUGCUGCUGAAGCCAUGAUGAUUUCUUCCUCAAACUCUCUCUUUGUGUUGUGUUGUGUGUCUUAGGUUCUCUCUUGGGUGAUCUUAAGCGUGGCAAAAGGACAAGAGCAUCACAAGCACCCAGAAGUGUGCAUCAAUCGUACCCACCACUAGGGUGCUGCCACUUGUGAAUCAUAUCCCAUUCCUUUGGAUAAUGUUAUUACAACUCAUCCAUUUCUAAGUCAACUAGGUGAGUGGCUUGGCUACUCACUCCCCAAAGCAACCAAAC
rnacentral:lncRNA from 1 species